rnacentral:lncRNA from 1 species
UUUGACUAGUCUUAAGAAUAAAAUAAAUUCAGUCAACAAGCCAUUUAUUGUCAACAGAAAUCAUGUUCAGUUUCUUUCUACUUAAAGCAAAUCGAGAGGGAGAGUGCUCUUAAAGUUCACCACGAAAAGUUACAAGCUGGGAGAAAGAAUAGAUGCUUAAAAUGAAAGGAAAAAGUUAAUGGCCAUCAUAGCCCAAAAGUUUGAUUUGGUCAUUUUGGUGUGCCCACGGAAGAGGUAAUGUACAUCUACUGACAAUUAUUAAAAUUUCGUUAUCAUUUCCCUCCCAGUAUUAGCUUACCAAAAUGCACUAAAAAAUUUUAAGUUUUGUGUUUCAAACGAAAUAUCAUCCUGUACUAUGUUUUACUCUGUUUUGUUAUUGAUUUGUUUGGCUUCCUACUACAUCUUAUUUCAAAGUGAUAAGAAAGGUUUCAGAAUGAGUUUGGGGUUUAGCCCGUUCAUCUCAGCUUUUUUUGCUUUCCCCCUUCAGAAUCAGGUUUGGAUUAUUAAAAUUUAAAUAAUUCUUUCUGAAGUCUCAUGCUGAAAAAAAUGACUAUUUUUCAUAACGAGAGGAAUUAGAUAUACACUUUAAAUACAAGUUAAUUUGAUCCUAGUUAUUGUUAAUUACCUCCCUUAAUUAGGAAACACAAACUAACUUUUACUAAAUAAAAAAUGCUAUAACGGAUAAAGAAAAUUUUUAUGGGUUAAAAUAAGAACUAAUAUUUGUAGGCACUAAAAUAUUUACGUGAAACUUGUAUUUUAGCAAAUUUCUUUUCUCUUUAAACAAUAUUUUAAAUAAAAAUAGGAUUAUUUUCAGUUUUCAUUAUAAUUUAUUAAUUAGAAUGCAUUGUUGGUACGAAGACUUAUAUUAUAAAUUUAUUGACUUUCAUAUAGUAGCUAAUCUAAAUGUAAUAGUAGAGAUUUUUUUUUUAAUUUGUUAACCGUGACCAAAUUUUUAUAAUUAUAGUACAUGAAGAAACUUUUUUUUACUAACCUCAAUUAAUUCUCUUAAUUAUUCGAUCAGAGAAUAAUGACAAAUGGUGAUUGAAUUGCUAAUCACUAAAAGCAAAGUGACAUAUAUCUACCAACAAAAAUUAUCACUAAAAGUCUAAAAUUUGUAAGUAGAUGUAAAUGACUUUGACCUACCAAAGUUUUUGGUGUCAACUUUAGGGGAGCAUAUAGGAACGGUUAAUAGUUUGUCACAAUAGGCUUUUGUUGAAAAAUUACGUAAAUUUCUUAUAAUCAGAUUUGUGAGAAAUAAAAUAAAUGCGGACUAAUAACACACAAAAUUGAUAACGAAGUUUAACUAAUUAUGCCUACGUCUCCGGGCUAUUCCAAACCUUUUAUUGAAAAGGGAAAAAUAAAAUAGUGUUUACAAGCACUCAACCCACAACCCAUUACACCCAGAAAAUAAAAACAAUGUUUUCUCUUAUUAAAGCUUUUCUCUCAAUAAAUCCUUUCUCUCUAUUACUCUAUCUGUUGGAACAAUUUACAAAGAAACUAAUAGGUGUUAUUUAUAUGGGAAGUAAGAACUUAUCUUUCGAACAUAUCUUUUUCUAUUAUUUUGCUAACUAUUUCUUAAUUGGUUUUCCUACUUUUUCUCUCUAAAGAAACAAUAUCAUUCACUUAAUUUUUGGGUGGGUUGUACGAUCACCUCCAAUAAUCUCCCACUUGAAGAUUAAUUUCAAUUUGUGUUCAAACCUCAAUCAAUACAACCACCUUAUCUAGUUUGUUAUUCUAAUAUGCCAACUAAAGUUAAGCACAACUUCAACCUGUCAAUGGUUACUACUUUUGUCAACAUGUUUGCUAGGUUCUUACUAGGAUCUUUCUAAUUUUUAGCACCUAAUCGUCGAGCAAAGAUAUGAUGAAGUGAUAACAGAAAUGAAUGUGCUUAGUUCUAGAAUGAAAUGUUGAAUUCUUUGUUAGAUGUAUCACACUCGCUAUGCAAAACACACUUCUCCUAGAUGAAUCCCAGCUCUAUUAACAGUCUAACUCUUUAAUGGCUUUUGUUACUAUAACUUACCCAGCCUCUAUAGUGGUUAAAGCAACAAUCUUUUGUAUUUGCGACAUCCAACUAGCAACUAUAUAUAGUACCAACAAUGAAAAUGUAACCAGUGGUACUUCAUCUCCGAAGUCUACAUCUACGUAGUCUUGUACUUUUAAUUCUCCUUUACCAAAGUACAAACACUUUUGCGGUACCUCGUAGAUACCUUAAAAUCCACAUAACUACUUUCCAAUGAGUUUUUACCUGGAUUUUACAUAAACCUACUUACAACUCCCACUGCAUGGCUCUUAUCUAGCCUUGUACAAACCAUCGCAUACAAAAAACUUCCAAGGGCUGAAGUAUACAUAACCUUAGCCAUGAACUCUCUUUCUCUAUCUGAUGUGAUUGAUCCUUGAAUAGGCGACAAUAACUAAUUAACCAAAGGUGUCCUAACUAGCCUGGCAUUUCCCAUGUUAAAUUUUUUCAAAACAUGGUUGAUGUACUUUGCCUAAGAUAACUACAAAAUCCUUUUAGCUUAUCUUUAGAGAUUUGCAUUUCAAGGAUCUAUUUUGUUGGAGCCAAGUUCUUCAUUUCAAAUUCUUUUGACAAUUAUUGCUUCAAACUUUCUAUCUCGUCCAUAUCUAGACUUGGUACGAACAUAUCAUCAACAUAAAGUAACAAAAUGAUAUAAAUUGAUUUAAAUCUUUUGAAGAAGCAAUAGUGAUCAACAUUGCACUUCUUGAAACCUUCCUUGUGCAUGAAACCAUCAAACAUCCUUUACCAAUGUCUUGGAGCUUGUUUCAAACUAUACAAUCUUUUAUUCAAUUUGAACACCAUAUUCCUUUUCCCUUAUUUUGAGAAACCUUCAAGUUGGUGCCUGUAAAUCUCUUCAUCUAAGUCUCUAUGAAGACAUCUAGUUUACCCAUCCAAUUGCUCAAGGUAGUGUUUUUCACUAGCAAAAAUUGAUGCAAUCCUCCCAAGGAGGGGACCCAUCACCAGAGCCAUUGCUAGGGGACUCCAAGAAGACUAGGCCAGAGAUGCAGGAGAAGGCUCUAGGGUUCUCAUGAGCCUUAGGAUAGAUUUUGGACCCAUGGGUUAAGGAUGAGUCCACUUAUAUUUGAACAUAUUAAAUUAGGGUUUCAUUAUUUUUGGGUCUUGUAUUUUGGGCUACAUAAUGUAGGAAGAGUACCCUAGUAAUGUAGGAUUUUUCAGCCCUUAUAUUUUAGGGCACCUAGACUAGUUUUUGUAUUGGGGGUAGUUUUGUAAUUUCAUAUGCAUGAAGUGCAUUGUUUGAUAUGUGUGUUGGGAGAGAAAUUUAAUUGAAUUGGUAGAAGCCCAAUUCAAUUAAAUUUCGGACCAGCCUAAAGGGGAGGUGAGCAUUUGCUUGCUACGCCUCAUUGCCACAUCAUAUAGUCAUACUUUGUGCAUGUUCUUCAUGCUUUACAUGCCUCAUGACACCUAAGCACACUUAGUGGAGAAUCUUGGACUUGAUCUUGGAUUAGUGGGCUGAACCAUAGCUGAAAUUCACUAAUCAUAAUUAGUGAUAUUUUGGCUCCACAAAUUUAAAUUCAAAUUCAAGUGAUAUUUGAAUAGAAAUUCAAAUUUCCCUCCAAUUUUGUGUGACACUUAGGCUAUAAAUAGAGGACUUGUGUGUGCAUUUUUUCAACUUUGAUCAUUUGAGAAAUUAGACUUCAAAGUUCAGACCUCAUUUGAGGCAUAAAAUUCAUGCCCCCCUCUCUCCCUCUCCCUCCACUCAUCUUCUCCUACCUUCAAGCUCUUAUCCAUUGCCUUCUAUGGUGGUGAGCUUGUUCUUGACUCAUCUUCUCCUUGAAGUGGAGUCUCCAAUCACCUUUCCUCCUUCUCCAUUCUGCUGUCAUUGAUCUUCAAGAAGCAAAGGACUCCAUUGAUCAAGAAGAUUCAAGGCCUACAAGCUCUAGAUGAAGCUACAUCAACAAUGCUUAUGAUGGACCUAAUAGUAUUUAGCUUCACAACUGGAGUAAGGAUUUCAGGGUAGUCAACUCCUUCAUUUAUUGAAAUCCUUUGACAACUAGUCAAACUUUGUAUCUUUUGAAGCUAUCAUAUGCUCCUCCUUUAUUUACUUCAUAAACCAAUUUGUUGUGAAGUGCUUUCUUUCCCAUGGGUAACAUAGAUAGUUCCCAUUUUUUAUUAUAGAACAAAGACUUCAUCUCAUCUUUCAUGGCAAGCUAGCUCUUAUUUGUUGGCGUGUACUAUUUGACAUGCUUCCUCAUAGUUUCCAAGCUCCUUUCAUCAGCCAACAAUAUAUAAUUUGGCUAUUUCUUGUUAGGUACAUAAAGAACAUAUUAACGCUUUGUGUCCUCCUAAGGUGGAGUUCACAUUUGCCUCUGCCUUCACCUCUUGAUUUGUUGAUGCAAUCUUGCAUUGAUUUUUGUAAUGCUCAGUCUUUCCACAGUUCCAAUAGUCAAUAGUGUUUGAGUUAUGGGAACUUCAAUGAUUCCUGGAUUUGGACCUUCUAUAUUUUGAUUUUCCACUUCCAUAUCCUUUGGUUGAAUUUCCUCCUCUCAACUCUAUGUAAAACUAAAGAGGUUGACGAUUCACCCGACUCUCUUCCAUAUCCUUUGCUUUCUGGUUUAUUUCUUGAGAGAGGUUAAUACAUUUUCUUUUGAUACAAAUAAUCUUCGAUUUGCCUAUUCCAAAAGCUGAAGUCCACACCAUUGAACUUCUUAAUUUUCACCUUUCCUUCUUUUGCAGCCAUUACUCCUACUCAAAUUUGACUCCCUCUGGAUCAUUUGUAAUAACAAACAAAAAUAAAAACCAAGCGCCAAUACCAAUUGUUUAGAAAUUAUGCAAAUUUCCUAUAAUCUUAUUUGUGAGAAAUAUAAAUGCAGAAUAAUAACACAUAAAAUUGAUAAUGGAGUUUAGCUAAUUAUGCCUACGACUCCAAACUGCCAAAGACCUUUUAUUGAAAAGGAAAAAUAAAAUAGUGUUUGCAAGCACUCAACCCAUAAUCCAAUUACACUUAGAAAAUAAAAAUAACAUUUUAUCUUACUAAAGAUUUUCCCUCACUAAAUCCUUUCUCUCUCUCUCUCUCUCUCUCUCUCUCUCUUUUCCUGUUAGAAUAAUUUACAAAGAAUCUAAUGCAUGUUAUUAAUAUGGAAAGGAAGAAGUUAUUCUUAUCACAUUGAUUUUCCUAUUAUUUUCCUAACUAUUUCUUAAUUGGUUUUCAUAUUUUUUUUUCUCUCAAUGAAAAAACAAUAUCAUUCACUCAAUUUUUAGGUGGGGUUGUACAGUCAUUAUAAGUGGCACUUAUAAUUUCAAAUGUGUAGUAAAAUGUAUUAACUUCUACCUACAACCUUUGACUGUAGGUAAAAGUCAUUUACUUUGUACUUACAACCAACUGUCGCAACCUACCCUUCGGCGGGAGGGCGACGCGAGACUCGCGGGAUGCGUGUUCCACGAAAGGAAUACGCGCGGAGUCGCCACCAACGUUUAUUUGAGGAAAACGUCGGAAAAACCGGAAAAGACGCGAUCUACGAACUUUUUAGUGAAAAGGUUCGGGAGUUGUAUUUACGCACGGGGAAGGUAUUAGCACCCCACACGUCCGUCCCAAGGGACGGCAGCCUUUAAUCGAAUGUGCAAACAUGACUUUGAUUUUUUAUGUUCCUUUUUACAUUUCUAUGUCCUUUAUACCCUUUUUAUAUUUUUCUCUUUUUGUGGUCGACAAGGGUGUUUCCCUUUGCUCCUACGUAUUCCUCAAUUUGCGAUGAGGAAAUCAGACCUACGUAGUUCUUUCGGAACAAAGUGUUUGGUUAAGUUGUUUUUUAUCUUUUUGCAAGAUAUAUUUUGAUUGAACAAAAAGGUCAUUUGAGGUGUUGGACCAUUAAACGGUCUUUUGAUUUUGAAAGGAGAGAAACGUUAAGGUGUUGGACCAUUAACGAUCUCUCGGGGUGGUCGACAAAAGCGGGGCUUUUGCUCCUACGUAUCCUCAAUUGCGAUGAGGAAAUCAGACCUACGUAGUUCUUGCUUAUCAAAUGAUUCUCUUUUUUUUUACUUAAGUGAUGAUCAUUUUAAGGCGUUGGACCUUAAAAAUGAUCCACUUUACUUAGUGAGAAAUUGAAAUGACGAACUUCAAAAGCCUAUUUUUGUGGACGAGCUUGACUAGGCGAGUUGAUUUUAGCCUUAAUUUCACUUUAGUUAUUAAUCAAUUCGAUUAAGAAUGAGAAAUCCCAAAGAGAAAACGUCCACUUGAUUUUCCGCUUUAUUUUACUAAAAGAUAUUUUUUUGAUUAUUAUAUUAUUUUUUACCUCUUUUUGAUUUCCAACGUGGUUACGGCACGACCGAACGGUCGGAAUUUAUUUUAACCGAAGUUAAUGGAUAAUACAAUUCAAACGUUCGGUGGAAAUUUAUUUUAUUUUUAAGUUAAGCGAGAAAUGACUUAAGCAAAAUGGCUUAAGCAUGUCAACAGGGGGUAUAAAAAGUAAACAAAACGAGAAUAAAAAUGCACGAAACACAAUGUGGACCACUACGGGCACAUAGAAUGAAUCGAAAAGCUUGGUUCGAGGUACUUACCCGUUGAAGAUCGAAGAACGAUGAAGAACGAAUGAAGAACGUCGAAGAACGGUUGAAACCUUUGCGAGAUUCCUCACGGAAAACGUUACGGAAACGUUUCGGAAGCGCCUCGGCUUAGAUUUUCUUCACGGAAACAAUUUUUCCAAGCAAAUUCGAAAGAGAGAGAAGUGCCUAAGGGGCUGGACCCCUUCCUUCUUCAUUUCCUCCCCUAUUUAUAGCAAAAUAGGGGAGGUGGUUGCCGCCCAGCUCGCCCAGGCGAGCUCAGCUCGCCCAGGCGAGCAGGGUUGCUUCCUCCAGAAGCAACCGCCUUCUGGAGGAAUCUUCUGGAGGGCCUAAAUGGGCCUGGUUGCUAUUUGCACCCCCAUUUUUACUAAGUACACCCCCCUCUGCUAUUUUUUGGUGAUUCUUUUUUCGUAAAGUUACGGAAACUUACGAAUUUCGUAACGAUACUUGUUUUCUUUCCGUAAUGUUACGGAACCUUGCGGAUUACAUAAUCAUCGCCUUUUUGACUUACGGAAUGUUACGGAACCUCACUUAAUUAUGCAACGAUGCUUCCAUUUGAUUUCCGGUGUGUCACGGAAACUUACGGAUUGUGCAUCAAUAUUUUUUUGGUUUUUCGGCAUGUCCUGGAAUUUCACAAAUUGCCUAAUGAUGGGUGCCAAGCACCUCACGAGGACCAAAGAAUGGUCGCACGUCAUCAAGCGAAGGUCCCCGGACGAAAUUAGGGUAUGACACCAACUAUAGGUAAAAAUCAUAUAUUAAAAAAAAUAGUCCCUAACUACGUUCUUUGUUCAUUAUAAAUUGUUAAUGUGGAUAUAUUUUAUUUUUUCUUUAAAAAAUGUAAUAUAAUUGAAAGAAGGAUUAUUGAAACUUGAAAUAGAAGUACUUGAAAAACACUAGAUUGGGGGGGGGGGGUGAAUAGUGUGAUGGAUAAAAACUUAGUCUUUCGACAACUUAGAAAGAUUUUCUCAAAUAAAUAUCAAUGGAUGAUGGAGUUCAAAAUCACUUUGAGUUUUGAAAACUAGUUUACAAGACUUGGACACGAUAGUGUAGAAGUAAACUAUAGCAAAUAAUUAGUAAAGAAAACACAGAGGUUUUAUACUGAUUCAUCCCAACUCUUGGGCUAUGCCUGAUUCUCCUUCAAAACUUGAAGGGUUCCACUAAUCAAUUCUUUGAUUACAACCAAGUAUUCCUUAUGCCACUUCUAGCUACAAUGAGUACUCUCUAGGCCCCUCUUGACACUACCCUUAAUCCCCCCUGAGAUUAAGACCCAAGUAUUCUUUGUCACUAAGUCACUCCUGGCUUUCACAAACAAUAGAUGUUUGAAAGAAAAUGUACCCUUAUCACUCAAAAAGUGUUUACGCUAAGCUCGAAUACAAUGAAACUUGCUAACUUAGCAGAGCUAAGACUCACUCAAUUCGCUCAAGUUUCUUUCGUCCAAUAAAACUAAUAGUGUCACAACACUUUGUUCAUUUUGACUUAGAUUAUUCUCUUAUGAUUCGAUAACCUUAACACGAAAAACUUCAAACUUUAUAAAGAUUUCAGAGCUUUGAUCCACUAAGAGAUCCCAGCUAGCUAUUGUCUAAUAGCUUGGGCACUUUACACGAGGUAACUAUCAUGUAGAGAGAGAGUGGGGACCAUAAACACUUUCUACAUCAUAUCUUCAGAGAAGUACAAUUUUUCAGUGUUGCCUAGUGCUCAGAGCUGACUUUUAGCAUACAAACCAAAUAUAGUGUGAACAACAUAAGACAAAAGGAAUUAAGAAUAUCAAGACAAGACAAUUUAAAUCUUCCCUUUUAUGCAUUGUGGCAUGAAUUGCAUAUUGAACCUUUGGACAUUACUUUUUGGUGAUUGCUUUUAGUAAUUGAGGAGUGAGUAGUUGUUCUAUUGCCUUUGUACCAUGAGCUAACUUCUAAUGCACUUGUCUUCUUAGGACUAGAUAUUGAGGUACUAUUGUUCAAUGGCUAAUACUUUGGCUAUCAUCUAGAACCUUUAUGUUCAUUCUUUUUGCUUGUAUCUCAUAGAGAUAGAUCAACCUAUAGCUUAAGCACGAAAGGUUGACACAUAAAAUUUAUACUUUGUUAGCAUUAAAACCUUAGGGAUUUAGUUGUUUGGUAUAAUCCAAUAUGAUAUGGAUGUAGCCAGACAUAAUAAUCUCCCUCAUUUUGAUGAUGACAAUUAGUAUAAAUUUUGAUAUCAAGUAAAAAAUAAAGAGGUUAAAGAGGUUAAAGUCAAGGUACCAAAAGUGUUUAGAGUGCACUGUCACAUGCCAUUUACUCUCUAUUGGUGUAUCUGAAGAAUAUAACUUUGAUAUACACUAAACUUGUUAAGCAUAAGAACAUAAAGAGAUCUUUCAAAGACAUAAUCAGAGUAAAUAUUACAUGAUCAGAGCAAAUAUGUUAUCAUAAUGAAUGAGCAGAUUAUGUGGGGAUAAAUGUGACUCUCAUUGAGUUUAAUACUUUAUGCAUGUACCAGAGAAUACAUAUUAAUCAGAGCAUGAAAAACAUAUGUGUAGGGAAAUUAAAAACAUGAAAACACACAUACGUGACCACCAGAACACUUGUUUUAUUGAAAAUAUAGAUAAGUACAAGUGUUUUACAAAUAAAAAAUCCUAUUCUACUUUCUCCCCCUUUAUCAUUAUCAAAAGAUGCAGGUUUGAAGAGAAAAAGAAAAUGACUUUGAACAUCAUAGUCAACCUUUAGUGGACAAAGGUUGAGGAAUAGUUGAUGGUGACUUUAGUGCGAAGGUGGAGGCGAAAACACGGGAUUAGCAUUGAUGGAUGCAGGAGCUACAAGAGGAGGUUGCACAACAAUGGUGGGUCGUGGCGGAUGUGGUUGGACAAAUGGAGGCAGCCUUUGUGGAUCAACAUAUUGGUUUCUAUGCAUUCAAUAGGGAACCUUAUUUCCAUAGUUUCUUCAGACACACCAGUUGGAGCAAAGGUGGUCAAAGAAGUUAUCUUGCGAGGAGUACUGGAUGUGAAUGAAGAUUGUUGAAAAACUCUUCAAAUUUGAGCUUCUCCUGCUGUUGUUUGGCUUCAAGCCUCUUUCUACAUCUCCAUCAAUUGACAAUUGAGUUUUUCUUGUUUCCUCUGAAGUUCAACUGCCAUUCCUUGAUUGAGAACCCAAGGGUUCUGAUUAGGAAAGAAUGAAUGCCCUUUAACUGAAGGAAACCUUGCCAAGCAGUUACAAUUGCUCUUCUCAUUAUAGCUUCGGAAUACUUGUGCAAGUUAAAGACAAGCCAAGAGAAAAGAUGAGGAGUAUCAUGGAUGGGGAGUUGAUAGAACUCAUUAUCUAUUUGUUUCCAUAGGAAGCACAUUUAUCAAUCAUUGAAUAUGUAAAUCUUGGUUGGAUGCAAGAUCUGCACCAUGCGCAUAUGAUUGGAGUUAUCUUCCUUGUCAUAUUUUGAGGUGGAUACAAGAUGAGAGUUUUCAAACAUGUCUUUAAAAUAAAAGAGAAAGGCAUCACUUUUAUCAAACUCAGCAUCUGGUUUCAAAGCAACAAUCUUCAUAGUAAUAUCCCUUGUGAAGUACUUGUUCCAAUCACAAGGAACAGGACGAAACGCAACAAUGUCCUUUGGGCUUGGAUGAGGCAUUGGCUUUGUGUGAGGAGGGACCUUGCCUCUUUUCUUACUUAGGUCUGAUGGUUGCAACCUUGGAGCAACGGGAUCAGACAUGAACUUUAUGGUAGUGGUGGGUUUGAUGUGAAUGUCAAAAGGAUAGCUUGGCUAAUGAUCAGUCAACUUGCAUUGUGUCAUAAUCAUCCCAACAUUAUAUAUGUCAUCCUUAGUCAAAGGAAGCGCUUGAUGGCCAUAGAUUAAAGGAACAAACUUGGAUAGGGGAGUGAAUAGUUGAAUGUGCUUUGGAUGCAGAAAAAGUGCCAGGAAAUCAUCAGAGGAUGGAUUGAUCUGUUGGUCAUCUAUCUUGCGAAACCAUCCAAUGAUAUCCUUAUCAUAGGGUACUUUUUCUUUGCAAGCCACCAAUGAAAUCUUUUAGACAUUCUUGCAUUGAGCCACGAUAGAUGAAGGGUUGGAUACCUUAAGGCGAAGUCGCUUCCAUGUUGGUGGAUCCAACUCAAUUGAAGUAGAAGCAGCUUGAUAAUCAAGAUGGGUGGCUGGAAGACAUGUAACCUCUUCUUCUUCAAUAUCUAAUGGAAACUGCAUCCAAUCCACUAGAGGUUGGAAUUCCAUGUCUAGUCUUUGUUGACUAUUGUAUGUAUUCUAAAAAAGAAAGGCCACUGGAAAAAGCAGCUUGGCAAUGUCUUCACCAAUAAGGUUGUUGCGAGUGGUCCUUGAUGGUGGAAGCGAUCAAGGUGUAUUGGAGAUAGAGGUGCUUCAUUCUGAACUUUGUCAUCCUUAUUGGUAGUGGACUCAGUUCUUUUCUUUUUCCUAAUAUUGAUAGUCUUAGUCCUUUGUAAACUCUGUUCAAACUGGUGAAUAGUUGAAGUAAAUUCAUGUAUCGGUGGAAUCUCAGAUGGUGGAGGAUUAUUGGUAGCAUCAGCAACAAUGGAGGAUUGCUCACUCUCUGAAUGCUUAGGCCUUUGGGCUCCUAUCUUCUCUCGCUUGCUAGUAUGAGGUUAAGUAGGAGGAGGAACCUGUUGUGUUUGUUUCACCUUCUUCACUUGAGGCAAUGAGAUUUCAUCUGAAGGUGGUGCAGAUUUAUGUUUCUUGAAGACCAAAGCCUGAUCAUCGUCACUAUUAGUCUCACUGAGUGCCCUUAGGCAUUUAAUAGUGGACAAUGGCUUUUGCUUCUUAGGUGUUGGCCAUUUGGACAAUGAGCCAUGGCACCUGCUACCUUUGGAGCAAUGAGAAUGAGAUGUGGACGUUAUUGAGUAGUUGUAGCCUUGGACGAAAGAGCAUCUAUCUUCUUCUUGGUUCUUUGCUCAGCUUGAGAAAUGGCUUCAGUAGUGUCCACUCCUUCUUCUUCUUCUUUAGUAGCUUUCUCCCAAACUAUGUCCAGCUGGUCAUCUCUCCCAAUGUUAUGUCCAAAAUUUUGAUGAAUUUCAUAGAGUACGGAAUCAUCCACCUAGGGAGUUUGUCACAAUGAGCCAUCAUCUACUACCCUCAUCUACGAGAUGUUCUCUUGGCCGAAGGUUUUAUGCUUUGGUAGAAACACCCUGUCUAGGUAGAUAUUGUCUUGUACAUGAGCUUCAAAUACCUUAGUGAGGACAACACUAUGGUAGAUGUCUUUCCCAAUGCUCUUGUCCUACAUCACUCCACUUGCAAAGUAAUUGAAGAGAAUCUGGGACAAGUCAAAGGGAGUGUCCUCUAUAAGAUGGUACAAAAUAAACUUAUGGGCAUUGAACGAGAAAUACUUUGAGCUCUAUUUGUGAAUAAUUUCCUUGUUGACGAUCUACCGAAAGAUUUUGAACUUGCUCAAUAGGAAUUCGUAUUGCCUUGGGGUCUUAGCCCAAUUGGGUCCUCAUAAGGAGUGCCCAAUGUGGUCUUCUAGUUCAUUUCCCAGUUGUUCAUGAACUUUGUGCCUUGAUGCUUACAGCCAAUGGCUUAAGCAAUGGUCUCAAUAGAUAGCUUUACUUGCAUGCCAAGUACUCUUCCAGUAAAGUAGCCUCCAAUGAAUUCAUUUUUGUACACCUUGGUAGUCUUCCAAAAGUGGGGGAUGAGUUUAGGAGCCACCACCGUGGGGUCUUUGAAGAAGUGAUGGAUGCCACAUAGCAUGAAGUGGGCUUUGAUCAAGUAGCCAUCAUUCUCCAAAGAUUCAAUGUCAAAGAAGUGUUCGACAUGAACUUUGGGUUCCUUGUCCUUCAUUGUGACUUCCACAACAAGGAUAGUCAUGGGUGCAUGUCUUGUGAUACGAACAAGGGAUAUGUUCUCGGAGGAAGCAGAUGAAGGGUUUUUUUUGAAGUUAGGUAUGGCUUGAACAACUUGUGGUUCAUUUUGUUUCUUAGCAAUUGUUAGGAUUUCUGGAAAUUUCUAAGUUUUUGAGAGAAAGACAAGGUGCAGAGACGUUUUUGAGAGAGAAAAUGUAAAAAGUUUAUAGAAGUUUUAUGGUGAAAGGUCGUAAUGAUGGGUGAUGGUGACGAUUAAGUGUUUAGGUGAAGAGAGAGAAAGAAAAUAUAGGGUGAAGUUGAAAAUAAAUGGGCCUUUUCAAAAAGGAUCCAACCCGCUUUAGGUGACUCAACACAAGUGCACUCAAAAUGCUAAGUUUCACUAAACUUGCAUCCAGGAUCACAAUCCAUAUAUUGGACCCAUGUGUGUAGUGCACAAGUACUGACUAAGCUCAUUGAAUGAUAGGUCUUUUGGAUGCUUAGUGAUGUGUUAAGGCUUCACACAUGGAUUUGAGACUUCAUUCCACAGGGAACAUGCCCAGCCCUUCUCUUACAUAGAUUAGUUUGUCCUUAGUAACGAGUUUUGUAACUAAAUCAGAAAGUUGAUCUUCUAUAGAUACAGAGCGUAAUUCCACAAUACCCUUCUGAACAUGAUCCCUCAUGAAGUGAUGUUUUAUUUCAAUGUGUUUGGAACAUGAAUGCAUGAUGCGAUUUUUAGAGAGAUAUACACUACAAAAAAACAUGAUGUAGUGACCAACAACUUUGCUCGAAAAAGUGUUAGCAACCAAAAUAGUGACCGAAUUCUCUCCAUCCCAAAUACCCUAGUCACCAAGGCCUUAGCCACCUGUCGCAACCUACCCUUCGGCGGGAGGGCGACGCGUGACUCGCGGGAUGCGUGUUCCACGAAAGGAAUACGCGCGGAGUCGCCACCAACGUUUAUUUGAGGAAAACGUCGGAAAAACCGGAAAAGACGCGAUCUACGAACUUUUAAGUGAAAGGUUCGGGAGUUGUAUUUACGCACGGGGAAGGUAUUAGCACCCCACACGUCCGUCCCAAGGGACGGCAGCCUUUAAUCGAAUGUGCAAACAUGACUUUGAUUUUUUAUGUUCCCUUUUUAUGUCUCUAUAUCCUUUAUACCCUUUUUAUAUUUUCUCUUUUUGUGGUCGACAAGGGUGUUUCCCUUUGCUCCUACGUAUUCCUCAAUUUGGGAUGAGAAAAUCAGACCUACGUAGUUCUUUUUUAUCAAGUGAUUCUUUUUUACUUUAAGAGGUGAUCAUUUUAAGGCGUUGGACCUUAAAAAUGAUCCAUUUUACUUAGUGAGGAAAUGGAAUGACAAACUUCAAAAGCCUACUUUUUAUGGACGAGCUUGACUAGGCGAAUUGAUUUUAGCCUUUAGUUUCACUUUAGUUAUUAAUCAAUUCGAUUAAGAAUGAGAAAUCCCAAAGAGAAAAUGUCCACUUGAUUUUCCGCUUUAUUUUACUAAAAGAUGUCUUUUUGAUUAUUAUAUUAUUUUUUACCUCUUUUUGAUUUCCAACGUGGUUACGGCACGACCGAACGGUCGGAAUUUAUUUUAACCGAAGUUAAUGGAUAAUACAAUUCAAACGUUCGGUGGAAAUUUAUUUUGUUUUUAAGUUAAGCGAGAAAUGACUUAAGUAAAAUGGCUUAAGCACGUCAACAGGGGGUAUAAAAAGUAAACAAAACGAGAAUAAAAAUGCACGAAACACAAUGUGGACCACUACGGGUACAUAGAAUGAAUCGAAAAGCUUGGUUCGAGGUACUUACCCGUUGAAGAUCGAAGAACGAUGAAGAACGAAUGAAGAACAUCGAAGAACGGUUGAAACCUUUGCGAAAUUCUUCACGGAAAACGUUACGGAAACGUUUCGGAAGCGCCUCGGCUUAGAUUUUCUUCACGGAAACAAUUUUUCCAAGCAAAUUCGAAAGAGAGAGAAGUGCCUAAGGGGCUGGACCCUUUUCUUCUCCACUUCCUCCCCUAUUUAUAGCAAAAUAGGGGAGGUGGUUGCCGCCCAGCUCGCCCAGGCGAGCUCAGCUCGCCCAGGCGAGCAGGGUUGCUUCCUCCAGAAGCAACCGCCUUCUGGAGGAAUCUUCUGGAGGGCCCAAAUGGGCCUGGGUGCUAUUUGCACCCCCAUUUUUACUAAGUACACCCCCCUCUGCUAUUUUUUGGUGAUUCUUUUUUCGUAAAGUUACGGAAACUUACGAAUUUCGUAACGAUACUUGUUUUCUUUCCGUAAUGUUACGGAACCUUGCGGAUUACAUAAUCAUCCCCUUUUUGACUUACGGAAUGUUACGGAACCUCACUUAAUUAUGCAACGAUGCUUCCAUUUGAUUUCCGGUGUGUCACGGAAACUUACGGAUUGUGCAUCAAUAUUUUUUGGUUUUUCGGCAUGUCCUGGAAUUUCACAAAUUGCCUAAUGAUGGGUGCCAAGCACCUCACAAGGACCAAAGAAUGGUCGCAUGUUAUCAAGCAAAGGUCCCCGGACGAAAUUAGGGUAUGACAGUUGCCCCUCUUUACUUGUCUUUUAUUGGAGAUAAAAGGAAAGUAAAGAUAAGACACUAAUUUCGUUCCUCUCGAUUUGGCGAGAGUCGCGGGUGACCAUAAAAUCUCCACAUGCAAAUGACUUGUUGUUCCCAAAAUUUCACAAAUUGCCUAAUGAUGGGUGCCAAGCACCUCACAAGGACCAAAAAAUGGUCGCAUGUCAUCAAGCAAAGGUCCCCGAAAAUUAGUGUAUGACACUAGUUUGGCUCCUCCCGGUUGACGAGAGUCGCGGGCGACCAUGAAAUUUCCGCAUGUAAAAGACUUGUUGUUCCCGGAGGAACAAAAGGUGCAGAAGACUAUGUCAGUCUCUGCAUGCUAUCAAGCGUUCUGUCUUACAGAUAGCAAAAGAAUGUUUAUACGGAUAACCACUCGGGUAUUUCCGCGUAUCAUCGGGCCCGCCGCCUCUGGAUGACAAAAGGGUGCGAAUAACCGUAAGGUAUCUCCGCGUAUCAUCGGGCCCGCCGCCUCUGGAUGAUACAAGGGUGCGAAUAACCGUAAGGUAUCUCCGCGUAUCAUGGGUGCAGAAUGACCAAACUUGGUCUCUGCUUGUCAUCGGGCCCGCCGCCUCUGGAUGACAAAAGGGUGCGAAUAACCAUAAGGUAUCUCCGCGUAUCAUGGGUGCAGAAUGACCAAACUUGGUCUCUGCUUGUCAUCGGGCCCGCCGCCUCUGGAUGACAAAAGGUGCGGAUAACCGUAAGGUAUCUCCGCGUAUCAUGGGUGCAGAAUGACCAAACUUGGUCUCUGCUUGUCAUCGGGCCCGCCGCCUCUGGAUGACAAAAAGGUGCGGAUAACCGUAAGGUAUCUCCGCGUAUCAUGGGUGCAGAAUGACCAAACUUGGUCUCUGCUUGUCAUCGGGCCCGCCGCCUCUGGAUGACAAAAAGGUGCGGAUAACCGUAAGGUAUCUCCGCGUAUCAUGGGUGCAGAAUGACCAAACUUGGUCUCUGCUUGUCAUCGGGCCCGCCGCCUCUGGAUGACAAAAGGGUGCGAAUAACCAUAAGGUAUCUCCGCGUAUCAUGGGUGCAGAAUGACCAAACUUGGUCUCUGCUUGUCAUCGGGCCCGCCGCCUCUGGAUGACAAAAGGGUGCGAAUAACCGUAAGGUAUCUCCGCGUAUCAUGGGUGCAGAAUGACCAAACUUGGUCUCUGCUUGUCAUCGGGCCCGCCGCCUCUGGAUGACAAAAGGGUGCGAAUAACCAUAAGGUAUCUCCGCGUAUCAUGGGUGCAGAAUGACCAAACUUGGUCUCUGCUUGUCAUCGGGCCCGCCGCCUCUGGAUGACAAAAAGGUGCGGAUAACCGUAAGGUAUCUCCGCGUAUCAUGGGUGCAGAAUGACCAAACUUGGUCUCUGCUUGUCAUCGGGCCCGCCGCCUCUGGAUGACAAAAGGGUGCGAAUAACCAUGAGGUAUCUCCGCACAUCAUGGGUGCAGAAUGACCAAACUUGGUCUCUGCUUGUCAUCGGGCCCGCCGCCUCUGGAUGACAAAAAGGUGCGGAUAACCGUAAGGUAUCUCCGCGUAUCAUGGGUGCAGAAUGACCAAACUUGGUCUCUGCUUGUCAUCGGGCCCGCCGCCUCUGGAUGACAAAAGGUGCGGAUAACCGUAAGGUAUCUCUGCGUAUCAUGGGUGCAGAAUGACCAAACUUGGUCUCUGCUUGUCAUCGGGCCCGCCGCCUCUGGAUGACAAAAAGGUGCGGAUAACCGUAAGGUAUCUCCGCGUAUCAGCUCUUGAGUCAUGGCAACAAAAGGCGGUGUGGUCGACAAAAGCGAGGCUCUUGCUCCUACGUAUCCUCCCCUGAGGAAUUCAGACCUACGUAGUUCUGGAUAACUUGUGAGACUUGAAAAAGUCUCGUUGUUUUCUCCACUAAAAUGCAAACAUGCUUUAGCAAAGAGACAAAUAUUCCAACUGACUUAGAGCAGCAUAUGCCUUUUUGAGUGAAAAACAAUGCGUCUACCGGGGAAGGAGAGUCUGCUGAUGAAAUCUCCCAUAACCAUAAAUGAGAUUUUGGAUGUUAGCAUUUCGUUUCUAAAUGAUCAUUUAGAGGAAACACUGGGUUCGAAAAAAAUAGAAGAAAUCUACUCAAAGUGUAUCAAUCUCGCACAGGUAAGUGUUUCAUCCUAAUUCCGAACCAUAGAUAUGUCAUGACUUGACUUUGCAAAUUAUUUCCUAUCAAAUCAAAAAUUACACGCGUGAUCAUGGAUCAAUAGGGCUUCCCUUGGGAAUGGGUUCUUUUGGUGGUUUCUUCUUUCGGCUUUUGUGUGUUUUUGGCUUUUGAUUUUUCUGGCUUUUUUCUUUUUCUGUUUUUGUUUAGUGCGGGGCGAGAAAAAAAAGUCGCUAGCGCACGGGAUUCUGGUUGGUAAUCAAAGGGAGAAGACUAUUUUAGGUUGUGGUUCUCUUUCCUUCUUUUUUCGUUCAUUUGGUGACAAUUCUGUAUUGUUCAGAUAUUGUCUGGUCAAAAGACCUUUCUGCACAUUUCUUCUAGUUCUUUGAUCAAGAACUUUCUUUCCUUCCUUUUUUUACUUUCUCCUAUUCUUUGGUUAGGAAUUUUCUUUCUUUUCUUUUUGACUUUCUCUUUGAUUGGAAAUUUUCCUUCUUUUCUUUUUUUUUGCUUUCUCCCACUCUUUGAUUGGGGAAUUUUCCUUCUUUUCUUUUUUGCUCCCGAGGGUAAGGAUUGACAUUCUCACCCUAGGUCAAGGUUCAUGGUGAGUCAGGAUCUUGGCUCAAGGUUUGUAGAAUGGCUAGACAUGAUACAUGUCGGGGUUUGGUUUGGUUCAAGGAUAAAAAGGGAUGCCCCACAUUAUUUCCAUGACACAAAUGCAAAAAUGAUGAUUUGGAAAUUUUAUGCAAAACUGGUCAUGCAUGCACCUAUGUGGACACUCAAGUGUCAAAUUUUUAUGGUCAUGUGAUGCUAGGGCUCAGGAUUCAUUUCCUCUAUUUUAAAUCAACCCAAUGUUUCCAAAAUAUGUUCUUUUAUCAAUUUGUGCAUUCAUCCGAGUCCAUUUCGGGCGUCUGGGAAAAUCUUCACAGCAUUCACCCUUCAGGUGUAUACACAUUUUCCAAAAAUUGGUUAUGAUCAAUGAAUUUUUUCAAAGAAAAGUUGGAAAUCGUCUCUUUUCAAAAGCAUGUCAUUUUUAGCUAGACAACUUAUUUUCUCUUUUUCCACCUUUUUCCUUACUUGCCUUCUUCUUUUUUUCUUAUUUGCUCUCUUUUUCAUUUCAUUUUCUUUUCUUUUGUUCUCUUUUCCAUUUCAUUUUCUUUUCUUUUCUAUUUUUAUUUUUAUGAUGAUUUUUUGUUUAUUUUACAUAUAUGCUUUCGAACGAUGUUCCUAAACGAAGAACUCUACACAGUUCCAGAAUUUCAAACAUCAUUGAUAGUAAUGAUAUAUAAAUACUAACGCAACAAUCUAAACAAAAAUGUAUGCGCUGUACAAAUGACAAUCGAAACAGCAAAAACAAACGUUAGUCUCUCAAGUCAAAAUAAUAACAUAGAAUAAAAAUGUCAAAAGAAAUAUGAAAGAAAACAUGAAUCUGGGGAUCUCCUAGUCACGUAUCUCCACUCCCUCCCAAGAAGUCAAGCAAAUCGGCCAUCUCCUCAUCCUCGUGGGCUUCUUCUCCAUCGCCGGGAGCUUCUGGGGGUGCCUCUCCUGCUUGGGCCUCGGGCCAAUCUCCGGGCCAUGCAACCUCUGCCCUGAACUGGUCUGGAGUAGGGCAUGAAAAAGGAGCGAAGCCCUGGCUCUGCAUGCUAAGGCUCAUCUGGUACAGACAAUCAUGGGUCCGUACAUGUGCUCGGUGGUUGGCCGCCUGCUGGCGAACCAAAUGCCGUAAAUACUGCUCCAUGUCAAAUGCCCCAGCCUGGCCAGCCUGAUGAGGUGGUGGGGGCGCGCCUGCGGCCUGUGGAGCAUCACCCUGAGCCUGUCUCUGGGUACAGUACUUCUCGAUAAAAGCCCGGGUGAUGGGCGGUCGAAUCACCUUGGUAGGUGCAACGGGGACUCCGAACGACUGGCAGAGUCCUGUGAUCAGUGCGGGGAAUCCCAGGGCCCUGUUGGACUUAUCUGGGUCCAAAGGGUGCCUAGUGGGCGCCAUACCUGCAAAAAUAUAGAUGGCAUCAGCGAUCAACUGAGCCACAUGGAUGCUCAUCCGUGUCAGGAUGGCGUACACCAGCUGGCACUUCGGCAUGGGGAGGUCGGAAUUAUGAUCGGUGGGCAGGAUGUUGCUGAGCAGCAGAGUCAUCCAUAUCUGAGUCAGGGUGGUCAUGUUGGUGCGCAUGAUCCGCACCCGUCUUCCGGCAGCAGUCCGGGCAAAAUCCUGCCCCGGUAUACAUAGCAGCUGGGCGAUGGCCUCCUCAUCGAACCCAUCAGACCGGUUCCUCCUCUGGCCAUACUCGCAUUCCUGGCCCUCUUCCAAUACCAUCGGAUAUCCCAGGAGCUGGCUGAUAGCGUCGGCAUCGAACGGGAUCCACUGACCCCUAACCCAGGAUCUCAUGUCACGCACGCCCUCCUCUGUUGGCCAAGCAUUGGCAUAAAACUCAAGGACUAUUUCUGGAUCAAACUUGGCCAUGGGAGUAACCAGUGGUGCCCACCGCCGGCGCCCUAUUUCCUCCUGGAAAUCAGUAUACUCGUCGUCCCUGAGCUGGACGCGUCGCUCCCGGAGAAACGACCAUCCCUUGAUGGCUUCGAAGCGCUGCUGGUGCACAAUGCUCCUAAAGCGGUGACUGUCGUACUCCGGGGCGGAACUAGUUCCUUCGGCCGCCUUGUCCUUCCUGGACCUCUUUGAGGCAAGCUUCCUCGGGGCCAUUCCUGCGAAGGCAAACAUUUGGAAAGUUAGUUUUACCAGUGGGACAUUACUCUUAAAGCAAAAAUGGCAUAUAACCUCCUCCCAUAAAUACAAACACCAAUGUAAAUUUAGAGCAAGCUUAUGCGCAUAUUUCCUUACAUACGUUCUCUUGCACAAGACAUUUAACCGAAAAAGUGCACCCAUAUACAAUCAAGGCAGCUUCGUUACCUAGAUUAUUUACACGUACUGCCAAGGUGUAUUUGUUACUUACAUCACACACAUCUCCUUGGCUGAAUUUACAUACAUGCAUACUCAAAGCAUUUUGGGGUACCAAAAAUUGCACAUGUGCACAUCUUGGUAUUUCUAAUACCUAUAUAUACACAAACUUCAUGAUGAAUCUUGACUAUCUUCACAAAAAGGUGCUACACUUCAUCCCUUUUUUCAAGUUUUUGCUACCUGAAGCCGCAUGCAAAUUCAAGCAUAUUUUCCUUUGCGGACUAAAAUUGUAUUCAAAUUAAAAGGUAUAUUUUUUGUAAUAUGUUUUCUUCACAUAACAUGCAACAUAUUUAUAUAUAUUUUUUUUUGCGAGACAUUUUGACUACCAAAAAAUUAUAUAUACAUACAUUCAAGUAUUUUGCUAUUCAUACCCAAAGUGUAAAUUGCCAAAGGUAUUUUGCUACCUAUUCUAAACCUACACAUUUAUGACGAGCAACAUUCCUAACCCUCUAGGUAUAGGGAAAAUAUUGUAGCGUGGCCCAUAGUUGAUUGCUGGCCAAAAAGGGUAACUUUACCCAAUAUGCACCUCCUUUUGUAUUCUUUUUGCAUAAAAUUUUAGUUUCUAGGCCUAGGACAUAUGCGGGGCUAUUACUCUAGCUCUUUCGAAAAUGAAUGCAUGUCCCAAAAAUAUGUGCAAACCAAAUUGCCCCAUGGGUUGUUUCCCUUCAACAAUCACGCGCUAAUGCCGUUGAGGCAUUUCACCGAACACUUGGUGGGCGCGCGUUUAGGCAUCAAUAGCAAGAGAACGGGGACAAUGUGGCAUGCCCCAUUACUUCAAAAUGCAUUAUAGGCCUAGGGCCAUCUCAUACAAACCCCCAAUUCAACUUAAUCAAGCAAGAAAACAAACCAAAAUUGCCCCACAUAUUUGAGCACAUUCCCACAAUUUAGAGCACCAAAAGGAGAUCAAAAUACACCAAUGAAAAGCUAGAAAGCUUAGGGAUGGAAUACUUACUUGUUGGUGAUGAACAAAAGCGCGAAACGGAAUCAAAAAAUGCGAAAAAGGAUGACCCUAGGGCUGCAAACUCGUCAAUCUCGUGGGUAUGGCUUUUGAAAGGGGGGAAGGGAAGUUUUUGAAUGCAAAAACGUCCCCCCUUUCGUUAUUCUUAUAUUUUGGUGCAGAGGUGGCUCGCCCAGGCGAGCUCAGCUCGCCCAGGCGAGCUAACCUGCACCCCACCCCCCCUUUUUUUUUUUUUUUUUUUUUUUUUUCGAGGGGAACAUUAACCAUGUCCCCUCCCUUCUCAGGGAUUAGCAUUUUGCCUAACUUGAACUUACUUAGGUCAGAAUUAGGCGUUGAUUACUUAUUUUAUCAUUACUCUUUUCCUUUUCAAAACAAACAAAUAGUAAAAGAAAGCUGCAAAAUACAAAGGAUACGGGGCUGCCUUGCAGCGACAUUCCCUGCUUGUUUCGCACAGAGAAGGGUAACGAUCGGUCAGUCGUGACCCCAUCCCCGCUUGCGUUCAUCCUUAAGCACCUGCAAGUAAUAAAUAACCAGGUAUGGCCAAUCUUGGCCGCAUCAUUACUCUACUUUGACUGGUUUCUGCCGUUCAUGUUUUGUCUUCACUCCAAAAGGUAGCCCAAGGCGAUCCUGCCCCUGUUUUACCACAACAAUAUACAUGCGUAUGCGUAUGCGUAUGCAUGAAUGUUUUUCAAACGCAGAAAAUCUAGGGAAAGUUGGUUCAGGUUCAAUUCUAAUUAAGCGCUUGGGGGAUCCCAUGAACUGAGCGGAAGGGCUCAGGCGAUCACAAAUUAACGCAAGGUGUGAAACUAACGUGAGGACUAAAAGCCUCAAAUCCAUGUUCAUUUCUUUGAAAGAUCGUAACAAGGGAUACAACAGACCGGAAAUCCCUGGGGGGAAAUCUAGAAAAUGCAUGAAGAUAGAGAACAUGCAGCGACAUCCUUAAUUGCCCCAGCUUCUAAGCAUAAUAUUGUUUGACGACAUCAGAGUUCACGGGCGAAGGUAGCUCUUCGCCAUCCAUGUUGGUAAGCACCAGGGCUCCUCCGGAGAAAGCCCUCUUCACAACAAAAGGCCCUUCGUAGUUCGGGGCCCAUUUCCCUCGAUGGUCCUUGACAGCAUGGGACAUUUUCUUUAGCACAAGGUCUCCCUCAUGGAACUUGCGUAAGCGUACUUUCUUGUCGAAUGCACUCUUCAUUCUUUGCUGGUAUAAGCGCCCAUGACUCAUGGCCGUUAAGCGCUUACCCUCAAUGAGGUUGAGCUGAUCGUAGCGUGUUUGAGCCCAUUCUGAUUCCUUUAAUCCGGAUUCUGCCAAGAUCCUUAAUGACGGGACCUCUACCUCAAAUGGUAACACCGCCUCCAUCCCAUAUACCAAUGAGAACGGCGUUGCCCCAGUUGACGUUUGCACUGUAGUCCGGUAACCGUGCAACGCGAAUGGGAGCAUCUCGUGCCAAUCCUUGUAUGACACGGUCAUCUUUUGGAUAAUCUUUUUGAUAUUCUUAUUGGCUGCUUCCACGGCUCCAUUCAUCUUUGGCCGGUAGGGUGUGGAAUUGUGAUGCUGGAUUUUAAACUCCUCGCACAUUUCCCCCAUCAUUUUGUUAUUCAGGUUGGUGCCGUUAUCCGUGAUAAUCUUUCUUGGCAAACCAUAUCGGCAGAUGAUCUCCUUCUUAAUGAACCUGACCACCACAUUCCUCGUGACAUUGGUAUAUGAAGCCGCCUCGACCCACUUGGUGAAAUAAUCUAUUGCUACAAGGAUGAAGCGAUGACCAUUCGAGGCCUUGGGCUCAAUGGCCCCAAUGACAUCUAUUCCCCACAUGGAGAAAGGCCAAGGGGCGGACAUGACAUUCAGAGGAUGCGGUGGGGCAUUGACAUUAUCCGCGAAUGCUUGACAUUUGUGGCACUUCCUCACAUGGACACAACAAUCGCUUUCCAUGGUAAGCCAGUAAUAACCUGCUCUUAAGAUCUUCCUGGCCAUAGCAUGCCCGUUGGCGUGCGUUCCAAACGAGCCCUCAUGGACUUCCUCGAUCAUGUGAUUUGCCUCCUUGGCAUCCACACAUCGCAGGAGUGUCAUGUCGUGAUUUCUCUUAUACAGUGUGCCUCCGCUCAUGAAGAAACUGGCUGCCAACCUCCUCAAUGUCCUUUUAUCGUUGUCGGCAAUCUCUGGCGGGUAUUCUUUGCUUUCGACAUAUCGCUUGAUGUCGUAAUACCAGGGCUUUCCAUCCCAUUCCUCUUCCACUUGGCAACAAUGUGCGGGUUUGCCACGACACUGAAAUUCAAUGUAGGGUAGGUCCCCGUGUGGUGUUAGCUGGAACAUAGAUGCCAACGUAGCAAGUGCAUCCGCCAUUUGAUUUUCCUCGCGGGGAACAUGAUGGAAGGAGAUCUCAUCGAAAGUCUUAGCCAAUUCCUUGAUGUAGGCUUUGUAGGGUAUCAGCUUGGGAUCUCUAGUUUCCCAUUCCCCUCUCAGCUGAUGGAUUACCAAUGCUGAGUCGCCGUACACCUUGAGUAGUUUGACAUCGGAGUCAAUUGCCGCCUGAACGGCUAGGGCACAUGCUUCAUAUUCGGCCAUGUUGUUGGUGCAGUCGAAUCCUAGCCUGGCUGUGAAAGGUACACAUUGAUUGUCCGGAGAGAUCAACACUGCCCCAACGCCAUGACCUAGAAUGUUUGACGCUCCGUCAAACCAUACAGUCCAUUUGUCCCGAUCUUCGUCCAACUUUUCCUCGAACAAGGCCAUGAUGUCCUCAUCCGGGAAUUCCGGAUGCAUGGGCUGGUAGUCGUUAAGAGGCUGUUGAGCCAAAUAAUCUGCCAAAGCGCUUCCUUUUAUCGCCUUUUGGGUGACGUAGACUAUAUCAAACUCAGAUAGCAAGACUUGCCACCGGGCGAUUCGUCCUGUAAGAGCUGGCUUUUCAAAGAUGUACUUAACCGGGUCCAUUUUGGAUAUCAACCAGGUAGUAUGACUCAGCAUGUACUGCCUUAGGCGAUGGGAUGCCCAUACUAAAGCACAACACGUUCUUUCAAGCAAGGAGUAAUUCAUCUCACAGGUCGUGAACUUCUUACUUAGGUAGUAAACAGCGCGCUCUUUCUUCCCGGAUUCGUCAUGUUGCCCCAGCAUACACCCCAUUGAUUCGUCCAAGAUUGUCAUGUACAAAAUGAGAGGCCUUCCAGGUACUGGUGGCAUAAGCACGGGAGGAUUCAUUAGGCACUUUUUGAUCCUUCCAAAAGCCUCUUGGCAAUCCUCAUUCCACCGAUCAGUUUGGUUUUUACGCAAGAGUUUAAACAACAGCUCACAAAUGGCAGUGAGCUGCGAUAUGAAUCUGGCAAUAUAAUUCAAGCGCCCCAGGAAACCUCGGACUUGCCUCUCUGUACGGGGUUCUGGCAUCUCAAGGAUAGCCUUCACUUUUUCGGGGUCUACCUCUAUCCCUUUCUGGCUUACAACGAAACCAAGCAAUUUCCCUGAUUUGACCCCAAAGGUACACUUAGCGGGGUUCAACCUUAAUUGAUAUUUCUUAAGCCUUUCGAACAAUUUCCGCAGGUUGACAAGGUGUUCUUCCUCAGAUUUAGAUUUAGCAAUUAUGUCGUCCACGUAGACCUCGAUCUCUUGAUGCAUCAUAUCAUGGAACAAAGCUACCAUGGCCCGUUGAUAAGUUGCCCCGGCAUUCUUGAGUCCAAAGGACAUCACCUUGUAACAGAACGUUCCCCACAGGGUGACGAAAGUAGUCUUUUCCAUAUCCUCGGGCGCCAUCUUUAUCUGAUUGUAACCAGAGAAACCAUCCAUGAAGGAAAAUAAAGCGAAAUUGGCCGUGUUAUCUACGAGGAUAUCGAUGUGUGGUAACGGAAAAUUGUCCUUGGGACUGGCCCGAUUCAGGUCCCGGUAAUCUACACACAUUCGUACUUUCCCACCUUUUUUAGGAACUGGUACGAUGUUGGCAACCCAUUCUGGAUACCGAACGACGGCCAGAAAUCCAGCGUCAAACUGCUUCUUCACUUCUUCUUUUAUCUUCAAGGACGUUUCGGGCUUCAUCCUCCUCAAUUUCUGUUUUACUGGGGGACACCCGGGAUUUAGAGGCAACCGGUGCUGCACAAUGUCAGAACUCAAACCGGGCAUAUCUUGGUAUGACCAAGCAAAGAUGUCUUGGUAGUCUUUUAGCAGGAUUAUUAAUUCUUCACGGAUAGGUGCGGUAAUGCCUAUACCUAUCUUUACUUCCCUCUUUCCACUGCCAAUUCCUAAGUCUACUAGCUCUGUUUCUUCUUGAUGAGGCCCCGUUUCUUGGUCCUCAUGGGCGACCAUUCUUUCUAGUUCUGGGGGAAGUCCCACAUCCUCAUUUCCUUCAUCUUCCGUUUGAUUCAUUUCUUGCUCGAAGUCGAUAGGCGGGUCCCAGGUAUUAGUACCUUCGGGGGACUCGUCAUCGAAUAUGCCGUUUUAGAAAAAGAAGUAAACAUGCAAAUGAAUGAGAAUGGGUAGAGACUAGGAACAGAUGAAGAAAGAUCCUUGUAUUAUAAAUUCAAAAACAAAAGACACAAAGCCUUAACAAAAUGAAAACUCUAAAGCCUAGGCCCAACUAUAGAGCUUUUAAAACCGUAAAGGUUUACAUUAUGCUUGUUGCGUAAAUGCCGGGGCGUUCCUCCACUCGCCAAUUUCCUAGCUGGAAGUCAGGAGAGCAUGGUCGUACCAAAUCCAAAGUACUUGGAACAUCAUCUUCGCAUAUCGCGAACACUUGACCUUCGUCUCCCAGACCCGCACUUAUAAAGCUUCUACUUAUGUGGCAGGGCGGGCUUCCUUCACUUUCUUGUCCCCAAUGCGAGCUCUGACCACUGUUCUUCCUUCCCGCGAUGCUUCUUUUCAUGUCCGCCUGAGUGGGCUUAUAGCCUAAACCAUACUUCCCAUGAUUCCCUUGGGUUUUUAUCAGGCUAGUUAUGCCGCCAUUGUCUUUGCCUAAACCCAUCCCGGGUUCAUAACCGUUCCCCAACAUAACUCGGGCCAUCAUUACCGCCGCAUCGGACAGACAAGGUUGCCCAAAGAGGGAGUCCACGGAGGAAAUGCUGACCACCUCAAAAGACUGGAAAGCGGUUUCUAACGAUUCUUCUGCGGCUUCCACAUAAGGCAUGGAGGAUGGGCAGCUUACCAAGAUAUCUUCCUCGCCUGACACGAUGACCAAGUGCCCCUCCACUACGAAUUUCAGCUUUUGGUGGAGUGUAGAAGGCACAACUCCCACUGAGUGGAUCCAAGGGCGCCCCAACAGGCAGCUGUAGGGGGGGUUAAUAUCCAUUAUUUGGAAGGUGACUUGACAGGUGUGAGGGCCUAUUUGUACUGGGAGAUCGAUCUCUCCCCUAACCUCUCGGCGAGUGCCAUCGAAGGCCCGAACCACCAUUGAACUUGGUUUUAAAAGGGAAGCAUUGAAUGGUAACUUGUCCAAAGUGCUCUUAGGCAUCACGUUUAAACUGGAACCAUUAUCGAUGAGUACCUUGGCCACGAUAUGGUCCAUACACUUGACUGAUACGUGUAAAGCCUUAUUAUGCCCUCUCCCCUCGGCGGGGAUUUCUUCUUCGGCGAAGGCAAGAUAGUUGUUGGCAGUGAUAUUGUUGACCAGCCCUCCGAAACCUUCUACCGAAAUAUCUUGGGCCACGUGAGCCUCGUUCAGCACUUUUACUAGCAGAGCCCGAUGAGGCUCGGAGCUCAUAAGUAACUCUAGCAGUGAGACCCUAGCCGGGGUUUUGUUGAGCUGUUCGAUAACCUUGAAUUCGCUCUGCUGAAUUAUCCGAAGGAACUCGCUGGCUUCCUCUAGCGACACCUCCUUUCUACCAUCCCUUUUCUCUGGGGGCCCCUUUGCUGACAUAUCUUUAUUCGAAGCGUGGGGUGCUUCGCCAUCUUGUUCCUCCACCACUUUUCCUUUUCCUUUGACGUCGGCGGGUUGGACUGGUAGGUCCGGAGGUGCGAACACACGACCACUACGGGUCACACCGCUCAGCCCCGUGAUAUUUGUUACUUUAGCUGACAGCGAGCUGACGUCAGUGACUUCUUCUUCCUUCUUCCCUGGAGGUGUAUAUCUCCACGGGACCGCGUGACUAUUUUGGUACGGGAAAGGAACAGGUUUGGCCAUUAAGGGGUGCCCGGGCUUUUGCGAGGCUGCACUUUUAGUGAAGUAUAUCACCAAGGGUUUGGGCUUCGCAACACCGCUCCCCUCCGUAGAUUGCAUGCAUAUAUGCUGCUCUUCUUUUCCUUUAAUGCCGACUUCUAGUCGACCUUGGUCUAUCAUCCGCUGUAACAAUUCCUCUACUUCCAAACACGUCUCCAUGUCAUGCAUCUCGCCGGAAUGUAGCAGACAGGAAUCCUCCUUACACCCACUAUGGGGAAUUACACCUCCCUUUUGUAGGGCCUCAAAGAUAAACCUCCUAGGGGUUGCCACAUCUCUUAAAGGUUUGGACCUGUGGGGCCUAUCGGAUUCAACUGCAUUAACUGCUCCCCCUCCAUGAUUGGCGAGCGGGUUGGUCCUCACAUUGGGCCGAUCCUCUUGGAAAGUCAGCCAUCCGGCAUCCAUUAGAUGUUGGACCUUGUAUUUAAGGGCCAAGCAUUUUUCGACGGAAUGCCCCGGGGCACCCCCAUGGUACUUGCAAGUUGCAUUAGGGUCAUACCACUUCGGGAAAGGGGGUUCGAGGACCCUUCCGGGAGUUACCACGGCCAAAUGAUUGGCGAUGAGGGAUGGUAGAAGAUCUUCGUACGUCAUCGGGAGCGGGGUGAAUUCCGGCAAUGGCCUUGGAGGGAAGUUCCUUGUCGUGUUGGAAUUACCGGCCGGUCGAGCCGUGUUCGGAGUUGGAACUUGGGGAGCUUCCCUCUGGGUGGGUGCCUUAGGCUGCACGGGUGUUGAACUAGAGGCGUUCCCAGCAUGAGCCGAGAAGCUUGGGUGAUGUUGCGCGUACUGAUGGGUACCAUGAGGUGCUUGCUGGGGUUUGACCCAUGCGGGUGUUGAAGAGACGGCAUGGGCAUCUCCUUCCUUCCUUUUUGCCCCUGUUGCCCCGAUUCUUUUGGCGUUCACGUUUGUGGAGGAAACGUAAUCAAACUUUCCUCUCUUCAAUCCAACCUCGAUUCUUUCCCCGGCAAACACCAGAUCCGCAAAGCUGGACGGCAUGUAACCCACUAGCUUCUCAUAGUAGAACACUGGCAGAGUGUCUACCAUCAUGGUGAUCAUCUCUCUCUCAACCAUGGGAGGAGCUACUUGUGCCGCCAAAUCCCUCCAUCGCUGCGCAUAUUCUUUAAAGGUUUCACCCUCUUUCUUAAACAUAUUCUGCAGUUGAGUACGGUCAGGAGCCAUAUCAGAAUUGUACUGAUACUGCCUUAGGAAGGCGGUAAUCAGAUCCUUCCAAGUACGGAUACGGGAAGCUUCCAAAUUAGUGUACCACACUACCGCAGCUCCGGCCAAGCUAUCCUGAAAGAAGUGUAUCAACAGCUUUUCAUCUUUAGAAUGAGCGCCCAUCUUACGGCAAUACAUCUUGAGAUGGUUUUUGGGACAAGUCGUCCCUUUAUACUUGUCGAAGUCCGGCACUUUGAAUUUCGGGGGAAUAACAACAUCGGGUACUAAGCAAAGAUCCGUCAUGUCUGCAAAUGGAUAGUCCCCAAAUCCUUCCACAGCCCUCAAUCUUUCCUCAAGGAGAUCGAGCUUCCUCCUUUCUUCAAUUGCCGGGGGCGGCCCUUCCAUAGACAAAACUAUUGGCGAUGCCGCGAUGUUGGGUUGGGGCAACGUGCCUGGUGCCGGCCCUUCGGGGAUCGGGGGAUAAAACUCGACAUCCCUCCGAGCAUAAUCUUGAGGGUCUUUAUGGACUUCGUCGGGCUGCUGAGGAGGCUCUUUUUCAUGGACGGGAGAAGCAAUGUGGCCCGCAUCUUCUUGCAAGAUGGGUGGUGAAUAGUUGGGCGGCAAUCCAUAAGGGUAAGCCGCUCGGUUGUAUCCCAGGUGAGGGCUGCCAUCGUGCCCCAGUGUGUCCCUUCCCCGUCCUACUAUGUUUGAGGGAGGAUGGUGCGUAGUUGCCAAGAGAGUCGGGUCUGCUUCGGCAGCCGAACUGACAGCGGCGGCAGUGGCCGCGUUCUUCUCCAUGAGCUGUUUCAUACCUAACAUGGCCUCCAUCAUGGAGGCCAUUUGUUCUUUCAGAGCCGACAUGUCGGCUUUCAUCUGUUCCUGCGUCUCCUCUUGAUCACCCAUCGUUCUAGAUUUGGAUCUGGUGCGAUAGGGAUCCCUUGCGGCGCGUUUAGUUAUGGUGUUUUUCCCUAAAAAACCAAACGUGAGGAGUGGGUAAAGAAAGAAAAUGCAUGCUAGAGAUGAGAUGUAGGAGUGAUUUGAUUUGCACAAGCUUUUUGGAGUAGAAACAUGGGACCAACUCAUUUUAUUUCAAAAAGGAAGUCAUAUCUAGUCAAGGUCUGAGAGACCAUACAAGUUUCCUAACGAUUUCUAAUUAUGUGGGCCAUUAAGUCUAUCAUAUGCUGACAAUAGCCGAGAAGCCCAUGAAUCUCUUCGGGGGCGGAGUAGGUGUCUGCCAUCGCCUUGGCCUGGGCUAACAAUCGGGGAAGUUCUUGACUCCCAUUCAAGGUAAGGGCAAACCGAUCCAUCCACAUGGUUGCCUCUUGGUGUAAAGAGUCGAUCACCCUUCCUCUAGCCUCUUUUUCCGCGUAUACUUGGGCAUACUCAUCCGCGAUUCUAUGCUCGUGGGCCGUGGCUAGACCUAACUCUUCUUGGUACUUGGCGAUGAUAGCUAGCAUGUUGGUCUCCAUCUCGCAUAAACGCUGAGACAAGCUUCUUUUGGACCUUGAACAGGCAACUAACUCCUCUUUCAAAACCAUGCUAUGUGCUCGCGACUGGUCCCUUUCCUCCCUUCGCAACUUGAGUUCAUUAUUGCUACCCCAUAGGGCUCCGCGAAAUUUGUUCCGGCCAUACUCUUCCUUGCGAGCCCUCUUGGUCUCUCGUUCAAGGGCUCUUGCGGUAAUUGCAUUCUCUUCCCGUAACCCGGCACACUCCUUCCGAACGUGUGUAGCAGCCAACUUGAACUUCUCCUUGGCGAGUUUUGCCUUUCCUAACUCGCUUUUGAGAGCUUGGACUUCCUCGUCCUCUUCCGAUGCUUCAAAAUUCUCUUCGCUGACGACUUUUAACUUGGCGAGCCAAUCUAAACCUCGUAUGCGAACUUUCAGCCAUUCGUGGUACCCACCAAUGAUGCCAUUACGAAUGCCUCUAAGCUCUUGAUCUUUCCUUAACGGGGUUUCCCAUGCCUUAUGGAUUCUUUGUAUAGUCUUGGAAUUUUGUGCGCCGAGAUCCCUCACAAGGAAAGGAGACAUGCUUUCUUCCGUCGGUGCUCCCCUCAUGGGGUACCCUAGUUGUCUUAUAGCGAGCGUGGGAUUGUAAUUAAUACAACCCCUCGUUCCUACCAGCGGAAUGUUUGGGUAUCUUCCACAUGAGAAAAGGACUCCUUCUUUUCCUUCCUUCCAUCGGGGGAACCAACUGAUUGUUCUACUUCCUAUCCCGGCCAAGAGCUGGCCCCAAUCCAUUCUCCUCUUUUCAGUACACGAGCGAUGGCUCAGGAGCGGACAUGGAUGUCUUGUGUCUUGUUGGAACAAGUGUGAAACCAACCAAACACAGAGGGCGGGUAAGCAACAGAUGAUCCGUGCGCUACUCUUCUCGCACCUUCGGUCAAAUGUGUCAAAUAGAUCUGCCAAGACAGCUACCACCGGACUUUCCUUGCUAUGGUGGUAGGCAAGGAAAGCGUCGAUUGCUGCUAGGCCUACCAAACCAUCCACGUUUGGAAAGAGGACGACCCCAAAAAUUAGCAAAGCUAACACAUCCAUAAACGGGACCCAUUCUCCUUGAUUGGCCAUACCCCUCGCUUUGUCUUCUAGGUACUUCUGUGGUAGGCCCGCUAUGCCGUUCCGAGUCUGUUUUAUGCGGUCCAAACCUCUUGCGGAAUCCUUGACCACAGUUGCAAUUCUGCUCAAGGAGGGGAGACAUCCGGAGGAAAGAUAUGGUUUUCUUCCCCCGAGAGGACAUCCUAGAAUUUCUUCAAAUUCUUCAAUGGUUGGUACUAAUUGGAAGUCUCCGAAUGUGAAGCAUCUCAAAGGCUGGUCGUAGUAUUGGGUGAGUGAUGCAAUGGCUUCUAUGGACACUUCUGCUAUGGUCAACUCUAAGAUCUUUCCGUAAGUCUUGCGGAAGGCUUGCAUUUGGAGGGGUUCCAUCAACUGCCCUAAUUCCUUGAUGCUGGUGGUAUCUGGGCUUUUGACCUUGACUUGGUAGAACCUCUUGCCGGUUUGAUUUGUUCCCAUGCUUACUAAAGUGAGACAAAAGCUGGUGCAAAUCAAAACUCCGAUACCUCAUGGGUGGGAUGGAUGAAUGCAUGAAGAAAUGCAUAUGACACAGAUGCAAUUUACGAAUACGGGGGUCCGGGGAAUUUGUCCCCUUCUUAGAUACGACGUCUAGGGGUAGCGAAAUGCCCCAACGCACGUUUUUAAGAAGGCGACACGGACCCUCCGUUGGUUGGUUUACAGCAGGGAUCAAGACAGAACCCAUAUGCAAUGCCUAUGCAAAAGACACAAUGCGGGAAUGUGCACAGUAUGACAAUAUUUACCGAACAUAAGCAAAAGGGUAUAUGAUACUCAUGCAUGGCAGUGUGAAAAAUGGCACGCAGCGUGUUUGCUUCGUGCCCCUAUUUAAGGGACCUAUAAGGGAGAGAACUAACAAGGCUUUUAGCAAUAAUCCCCAAGGUAGUUAUAUCUCUCUUGAUGGUUUCUAGAGGUAUCAUCCCCUUUGAAGAACAUAUUGUAGCAGUAGGGACUACUAGCAACAAUAGGUUUUCAAAGAGAAAAGCUCUAGAUGAGGGUUCACUGUAAUCAAGCAAGUCGGAGACCUAGCAUGAUCACAGAUUCACCUCCACUCCUUAUGCUCCCAUGAACCCGGGUAUAGGGCCCUUUUUCACUCACAGUGUGUGCAAAUAGUGUUGGUGUUUGUGUGCAUCAAAUGAAUAAAUAUUUACCUCAUGCAUACAUUCUAAAACACACUAAAAGCAACAGAUAGUUUAUAUACACAAGAACAUAAGACAAAUAAAGGGAAACCAACAAAGGAGAAAGUCAUGAUAAAACAUCGCACAAGAUUAAAUGGCCUAACUCUCUAAAAAUGGUCCCCAGUGGAGUCGCCAACUGUCGCAACCUACCCUUCGGCGGGAGGGCGACGCGUGACUCGCGGGAUGCGUGUUCCACGAAAGGAAUACGCGCGGAGUCGCCACCAAUACCCUUCUGAACAUGAUCCCUCAUGAAGUGAUGUUUUAUUUCAAUGUGUUUGGAACAUGAAUGCAUGAUGCGAUUUUUAGAGAGAUAUACACUACAAAAAAACAUGAUGUAGUGACCAACAACUUUGCUCGAAAAAGUGUUAGCAACCAAAAUAGUGACCGAAUUCUCUCCAUCCCAAAUACCCUAGUCACCAAGGCCUUAGCCACCUGUCGCAACCUACCCUUCGGCGGGAGGGCGACGCGUGACUCGCGGGAUGCGUGUUCCACGAAAGGAAUACGCGCGGAGUCGCCACCAACGUUUAUUUGAGGAAAACGUCGGAAAAACCGGAAAAGACGCGAUCUACGAACUUUUAAGUGAAAGGUUCGGGAGUUGUAUUUACGCACGGGGAAGGUAUUAGCACCCCACACGUCCGUCCCAAGGGACGGCAGCCUUUAAUCGAAUGUGCAAACAUGACUUUGAUUUUUUAUGUUCCCUUUUUAUGUCUCUAUAUCCUUUAUACCCUUUUUAUAUUUUUCUUUUUGUGGUCGACAAGGGUGUUUCCCUUUGCUCCUACGUAUUCCUCAAUUUGGGAUGAGAAAAUCAGACCUACGUAGUUCUUUUUUAUCAAGUGAUUCUUUUUUACUUUAAGAGGUGAUCAUUUUAAGGCGUUGGACCUUAAAAAUGAUCCAUUUUACUUAGUGAGAAAAUGAAAUGACAAACUUCAAAAGCCUAUUUUUAUGGACGAGCUUGACUAGGCGAAUUGAUUUUAGCCUUUAGUUUCACUUUAGUUAUUAAUCAAUUCGAUUAAGAAUGAGAAAUCCCAAAGAGAAAAUGUCCACUUGAUUUUCCGCUUUAUUUUACUAAAAGAUGUCUUUUUGAUUAUUAUAUUAUUUUUUACCUCUUUUUGAUUUCCAACGUGGUUACGGCACGACCGAACGGUCGGAAUUUAUUUUAACCGAAGUUAAUGGAUAAUACAAUUCAAACGUUCGGUGGAAAUUUAUUUUGUUUUUAAGUUAAGCGAGAAAUGACUUAAGUAAAAUGGCUUAAGCACGUCAACAGGGGGUAUAAAAAGUAAACAAAACGAGAAUAAAAAUGCACGAAACACAAUGUGGACCACUACGGGUACAUAGAAUGAAUCGAAAAGCUUGGUUCGAGGUACUUACCCGUUGAAGAUCGAAGAACGAUGAAGAACGAAUGAAGAACGUCGAAGAACGGUUGAAACCUUUGCGAAAUUCUUCACGGAAAACGUUACGGAAACGUUUCGGAACCGCCUCGGCUUAGAUUUUCUUCACGGAAACAAUUUUUCCAAGCAAAUUCGAAAGAGAGAGAAGUGCCUAAGGGGCUGGACCCUUUUCUUCUCCACUUCCUCCCCUAUUUAUAGCAAAAUAGGGGAGGUGGUUGCCGCCCAGCUCGCCCAGGCGAGCAGGGUUGCUUCCUCCAGAAGCAACCGCCUUCUGGAGGAAUCUUCUGGAGGGCCCAAAUGGGCCUGGGUGCUAUUUGCACCCCCAUUUUUACUAAGUACACCCCCCUCUGCUAUUUUUUGGUGAUUCUUUUUUCGUAAAGUUACGGAAACUUACAAAUUUCGUAACGAUACUUGUUUUCUUUCCGUAAUGUUACGGAACCUUGCGGAUUACAUUAUCAUCCCCUUUUUGACUUACGGAAUGUUACGGAACCUCACUUAAUUAUGCAACGAUGCUUCCAUUUGAUUUCCGGUGUGUCACGGAAACUUACGGAUUGUGCAUCAAUAUUUUUUGGUUUUUCGCCAUGUCCUGGAAUUUCACAAAUUGCCUAAUGAUGGGUGCCAAGCACCUCACAAGGACCAAAGAAUGGUCGCAUGUUAUCAAGCAAAGGUCCCCGGACGAAAUUAGGGUAUGACACCACCGAAUGUCUUUUUGGCCGAUGUUUAGCGACCAACAUAGUCGAUCCCUAGAAAAUAGAAAUCUGGUUACUACACAUUUGGUUGCUAUUUUGCUUGGGACCAAUUCAAAAAUUGAAACUCACAAUUCCUAAUUCGGUCGCUAAUAAAUAAUCAAAUUUUAAAUCUAAAAUAAAUUAAAAUAACAUUUGGUCACUAUCAAAUAAUUAAUUUUAAAUAUUAAAUAAAUUUUUAAAAAAUUAUUGCGGUUGCUAUUUUGGUGGCUAAGUUUAUUGCGGUUGCUAUUUUGAUGACAUAGUCCUCCUUGGUGAGUCGAGGGAGGAAUUGAAUGAGAGGUUGGAAACUUGGAGACGAGCUCUAGAAACACAUGGCUUUCGCCUAAGCAGAAGCAAAUCGGAGUAUAUGGAAUGUAAGUUCAACAAAAGAAGGAGGGUUUCUAACUCAGAGGUGAAAAUAGGAGACCAUAUUAUCCCUCAAGUCACACGGUUUAAAUAUCUUGGGUCUGUAAUACAGGAUGAUGGGGAAAUUGAAGGGGAUGUGAAUCAUCGCAUUCAAGCAGGAUGGAUGAAAUGGAGAAAAGCAUCGGGGGUGUUAUGUGAUGCAAAGGUACCGAUCAAGCUAAAGGGAAAGUUUUAUCGGACUGCGGUAAGACCGGCGAUUUUGUACGGAACAGAAUGUUGGGCGGUCAAGAGCCAACAUGAGAAUAAAGUCGGUGUAGCGGAGAUGAGGAUGUUGCGGUGGAUGUGUGGUAAGACUCGACAGGAUAAAAUUAGAAACGAAGCUAUUAGAGAGAGGGUUGGAGUAGCGCCUAUUGUAGAGAAGAUGGUGGAAAAUAGACUUAGGUGGUUUGGGCAUGUAGAGAGAAGACCGGUAGACUCUGUAGUGAGGAGAGUAGACCAGAUGGAGAGAAGACAAACAAUUCGAGGCAGAGGAAGACCCAAAAAGACUAUAAGAGAGGUUAUAAAAAAGGAUCUCGAAAUUAAUGGUUUGGAUAGAAGUAUGGUACUUGAUAGAACAUUAUGGCGGAAGUUGAUCCAUGUAGCCGACCCCACCUAGUGGGAUAAGGCGUUGUUGUUGUUGUUGUUGUUGUUGCUAGUUAAUAAUUAAUUUUAGAAUAAAACUGCAGUUUAGUUGCGAAUUCGAUCGCUAUUUAAUUUUAAAUUUUUAAAUAUAAAUUUAAUUAAGAAUACAAUUCGGUAACAAAUUUGGUCGCCAAAUGAAAAUAUGCUAUAUUUUUUGUUUUUUCAUUUGUUAAUUUUGACUUGCUUAAUAAUUAUCGACUGUAAAUAUAAUUUUUAUUUAAAUUGUAUAAUCAAACUUUUCAAAGUGGACAUUCAUAAUGAGUAAAUAUAUCUAAUAACAAAGUUCUAAUUUACAUAUUGAUAAAGUGCAAAUUCAAAGUUUUCAAAGUUUAAUAAAAUGCAAUGUUAAAGUUUAAUAAAGUUCAAAUUCAUAACUAACAUGGCAUAAUAAAACUAAAAUAAAAAAUAACCAUGAGUCAAUGGUCCUUUCAAAUGUCAUGAGGACGAUCAACCUGAGCAUCAUUAACAUGGUGUUCAGUUCCAUCCACUAUGGUAGUUGAUGGACUACGAGCUAGCAUGAUAGACUGAAUAUGCAAGUGUUGUAAUAUACACUGCAUUUGCUCAUUUUGUUGACGAAUUUGCUUAUUUUGUUCUUGCAUUUGUUGUCGCAUCUCCUAACUUUGGUGGUCAUGAUUCUCUAUUAGCUGCAACAUCUUUUCCUCAAGUGUCUUCUCCUUAUCUACCUUUGCCAAAAGCUUAGCAUUCAAUUUAUUAAUUGUCUCAUGUAUUUCCUCUAGAAUUAUCCUUUAGUUAGUUUAAUCAUGGAAUUUAUUUAUGUGCUUGAUGAGUUAGUUCUUAAAUUUAUAGAUUUGUAAUUAGUUAGUCCUUUUAAGAAGCUAAAUUGAGAUAGAAAAAGGACUAACAUGAUGCAGGUUUAAAAUAAUGAGACAAGAAAGAGAUGCUCAGAAAGUGUUUUGUCGCUUGUUAAUGAGGCAAGGGUACAAGAGUGUGUGUGUCGCCCAGUUGAGCUUGCAUAUAAUAUAAUAUCUUCCUACAUUUCAUAAGCUUAAUAUUAAUACAUUAACAAUAGUUAUCCUUCAAAACCAAGCACAGGGAGAUUUCUUUAAGCCAUGAAGAGUCUAAUAAAGUUUGCAAAAUAGAUCCAACACUCCUUAAGCAACAAAACUAGGAGGUUGCACUAUAUAGAUGAUAGAUCUCCUGUUUGAGUUCACCAUGAAGAAAUACGUUAGUGUGUAGCUAAAAUAAAGGCUAAGAAUGCAUGGCAUCAUGGCUAGGAGUAGAUGAACAAAUACAAUGGGAGAAAACGUGUAAACAUAGUCUUGAUCAUAAUCUUGACUAAACCUUUGAUUAACCAAGUUUCAUAGUGUAAAUUCUCUUACCAUAAACCAAUGGUUUGUGAUGCAAUCCUACCCCGCAAGGGCAUUGGAUAGAAAACUCCAAGUAGAUUGGGCCAGAGAUGCAAGAGAAGGCCCUAGGGUUCUUAUGAGCCUUAGGGUAGAUUUCGGGCCCAUGGGCUAAGUACGAGUCCACUUAUCUUUGUAAAUAUUAGAUUAAGGUUUCAUUAUUUUUGGGCCUUGUAUUUAGGGCUCCAUAAUGUAGGUAGGGUACCUGAUGCAAGCUCCAUUGGAGCUUGUAGGCCUAGGAUCUUCUUCACCAAUGGAUUCCUUUGCUUCUUGGAAGAUAAAUGGCAGCAGAAUGGAGAAGGAAGAGAGAGAGGAGACGCCACUUCAAGGAGAAGAUGAGUCUAGAAGAAGCUCACCACCAUAGGAGGCCAUGGAUAAGAGCUUGGAGGAAGAAGGAGAUGAAUGAAGGGAGAGAGAGAGAAGAGCACGAAAUUUUGUGCUCAAAAGGAGCUCUGAAAUCUGAAGUUAAUAUUCAAAUGAUCAAAGUUGAAAAAAAUACACACACAUGACCUCUAUUUAUAACCUAAGUGUCACACAAAAUUGGAGGGAAAUUCAAAUUUCACUUGAAUUUGUGGAGCCAAACUUUGGAGCCAAAAUUUCACUAAUUAUGAUUAGUGAAUUUUAGUUAUGGUUCAGCCCACUAAUCCAAGAUCAAUUACAAGAUUCUCCACUAAGUGUGCUUAGGUGUCAUGAGGCAUGAAAAGCAUGAAGAACAUGCACAAAGUGUGACUAUAUGAUGUGGCAAUGGGGUGUAGUAAGCAAAUGCUCACCUUCCCUUCUAAAAUUUAAUUGGAUUGGGCUUCUACCAAUUCAAUUAAAUUUAUUUCCAACCACACACAUCAAAUAUCCACUUAGUGCAUGUGAAAUUACAAAACUACCCCUAAUACAAAAACUAGUCUAGGUGCCCAAAAAUACAAGGGCUGAAAAAUCCUAUAUUUCUAGGGUACCCUACCUACAAUAUGGAGCCCUAUAUACAAGGACCAAAUAUAAUGACAUCCUAGUCUAAUAUGUACAAAGAUAAUUGGACCCAACCUUGGCCCAUGGGCUCAGAAAUCUACCCUAAGGUUCAUGAGAACCCUAGGGCCUUCUUCAGCAGCUCUAGCCCAAUCUUCUUGGAGCCUCUUGCUCAUGGUUCUAGUGAUUGGUCCCUUCCUAGGGAGGAUUGCAUCAUCCCCUUCCCCUUGAAGAGGAUUUGACCUCAAAUCUGUUAGUUCCUCCUCCUCAAUAUCAGCUCCACCUGCAAAAGGAGUUAAAUCAGAAAUGUUAAAAGUGGUGCUGACUCCAUACUCUUCUGGGAGGUCCAACCUAUAGGCAUUGUUAUUGAUCCUCUCCAAAACCUGAAAAGGUCCAUCCCCUCUAGGGCUAAGCUUGGAUUUCCUUUUAGUAGGGAAUCUAUCCUUCCUAAGAUGGAGCCAAACCCAGUCACCCUCAUUAAGAACUAGCUCUUUUCUUCCUCUAUUGCCUUUAGUUGAAUACACCUUUGUUUGAUUCUCUAUUUGGUUCUUAACCCUCUCAUGCAUCUUCUUUACAAAUUCUGACCUAGAUUCCCCUUCUUUAUGUAUAAAAGAAGUGUCCAGUGGGAGGGGAAUGAGGUCUAACGGUGUUAGGGGAUUGAACCCAUAGACAACCUCAAAAGGGGACUGCUUGAUGGUUCCAUGAACCCCCCUGUUGUAGGCAAAUUCUACAUGAGGAAGAUACUCAUCCCAAGACUUAUGGUUGCCUUUCAGAAGAGCCCUUAAAAGGGUGGAUAAAGACCUAUUCACUACCUCUGUUUGCCCAUCAGUUUGUGGAUGACAAGUGGUAGAGAAAAGAAGUUUAGUUCCUAACUUAGCCCAUAAGGUUUUCCAGAAGUGGCUAAGGAACUUAGCAUCUCUAUCUGACACAAUGGUCCUAGGCAAACCAUGGAGUCUCACAACUUCCCUGAAAAAGAGUUUUGAGAUGUGGGAAGCAUCAUCCACCUUGUGGCAUGGUAUAAAGUGUGCCAUCUUGCUAAACCUAUCCACCACCACAAAGAUAGAGUCUACACCUCUUUGGGUUCUAGGAAGCCCAAGGACAAAGUCCAUACUAAUGUCUACCCAAGGUGCAGAUGGGAUGGGUAAGGGUGUGUAUAGCCCAUGAGGCAUCACCCUAGACUUGGCUUGUAAACAAGCCACACACCUAGUGCAAUGCUUAUGGACAUCUUUCUUCAUAUGGGGCCAAUAAAACUUUUCUUUGAGUAAGACAAGGGUCUUGUCUAUCCCAAAGUGGCCCAUGAGCCCACCCUCAUGGCUCUCUUUCACAAGUAAUUUCCUAAUGGAUCCUUGGGGUAUGCAAAGCUUUCCCUCUUUGAACAAAUACCCCUCAGCCAAAUAGAAUCCAUCUUGGGCCUUUUUCCCACAACUCUCAUAAAUGGGAGAGAAAUGUUCAUCUAAAGCAUACAAGUCCCUAAUAUUAUCAAAUCCUAAAAUUUGAGCUCCUAGGGAGCAAAACAAUGUGUGUCUCCUAGAGAGGGCAUCAGCUACCACAUUUGUUUUUCCCUUUUUGUAUUUGAUAACAUAUGGAAAUUGCUCUAGGUACUCUACCCAUUUUGCAUGCCUCUUGUUUAACUUGCUUUGCCCUCUAAUGUACUUAAGUGAUUGAUGAUCACUAUGAAUGACAAAUUCCUUGGAAACAAGGUAAUGUUCCCAAGUUUGGAGGGCUCUUAUUAAGGCAUAAAGCUCUUUAUCAUAGGUGGGGUAGUUGAGGGUGGCACUAUGAAGUUUUUCACUAAAAUAAGCAAUAGGGUGCCCACCUUGUAACAAUACAGCUCUAACUCCCACUCCAGAGGCAUCACAUUCUAGCUCAAAAGUUUUAGAAAAGUCAGGAAGAGCUAGAACAGGUGCCUUAGUAAGCUUUUCUUUGAGCAAAGCAAAGGCUUGCUCUUGUUUUUCACCCCAGGUAAAUGCCACAUUCUUCUUCACCAGCUCAUUGAGAGGUGAUGCAAUUGUAGAGAAAUUAGGAACGAACCUUCUAUAGAAGCUUGCUAACCCAUGGAAGCUCCUAAUAUCUGCCACACUUUUUGGGGUGGGCCAUUCUUGGAUGGCCUUGAUUUUCUCAGGGUCCACUUGGACCCCAUUUCUACCAACUACAAAACCUAAGAAAACUAUAUUAUCUACACAAAAGGUACACUUCUCUAUAUUUGCAUAGAGGGUGUUUUUCCUAAGGACUGAAAGAACUUGUCUGAGAUGUCCUAAGUGAAAAUCUAGGCUCCUACUAUACACUAAAAUAUCAUCAAAAUAAACAACUACAAAUCUACCUAUGAAAUCCCUUAAGACAUGAUGCAUAAGCCUCAUAAAGGUGCUUGGUGCAUUAGUGAGCCCAAAAGGCAUCACUAGCCAUUCAUACAAACCAAACUUGGUCUUGAAAGCAGUUUUCCACUCAUCACCCUUUUUCAUCCUGAUUUGGUGAUAACCACUUUUAAGAUCAAUUUUUGAAAAGAUAUUGGCACCAUGCAACUCAUCAAGCAGAUCAUCAAGUCUAGGAAUGGGGUGCCUAUACUUUACAGUGAUGUUGUUGAUGGCCCUGCAAUCUGUACACAUUCUCCACGUACCAUCCUUUUUGGGCACCAACAACACUGGCACAGCACAUGGGCUUAGGCUCUCUUGGACCCAGCCCUUCUCCAACAAUUCUUUAACCUGAGACUCUAUCUCCUUAGUCUCCUGAGGGUUAGUCCUAUAGGCUGGCCUAUUAGGAAGGCUUGCUCCUGGGACUAAAUCUAUUUGGUGUUCUAUUCCCCUCAAAGGAGGUAGCCCAGGGGGUAUCUCUUUGGGAAAUAUAUCACCAAAUUCAUGUAAGAGUUCUUGGACCUUUGGGGGUAAGGUCUCAAAUGUAGGAAUUGUGGCAGUGCUAAGGGAUGUUUCCCUUGAUAGGAGAAGGUAGAAAGAUUGUUUAAGAAGGAGUGCUCUUUUAAUAUCACCUUUUGUUGCAAAAUGAUUUUCCUUCUUAACAAUCUUCUUGGAGGAAUCCUUUCCCUCUUUUUCCUUCCCCCUGGCCUUUGAAGACAAGACCUUACUAUCCUUCUUUUUCUUUUGUUUUUCUAAUUUUUCUUCCUCAUCCCUCUUAUCUUUCAUAGUUAGUUGAUCUUUGGCCACCUGUGAAGGUGUUUGAGGAUGCAACACAAAUUUAGUGCCAAGAUGGGUGAGGCUAAUCUCAUUAGUUAGGCCAUUAUAAAUGAUCUUCCUAUCAAAUUGCCACGGCCUUCCUAAAAGAAUAUGUCCUGCCUCCAUGGGAACUAUAUCACAAUUAACUUCAUCCUUAUAUGUCCCAAUGGAGAAAGGUACCUUCACUUGUUGGUUAACUAUCAUUUCCCCUUGCUCAUUGAGCCAUUGAAGUUUAUAAGGUUUUGGGUGGGGAAUGAUAGUGAGGUUCAACUUGGAAACUAAUCUUGUGCUACAACAAUUGCAACAAGAUCCACUAUCCACAAUGAGAGAACAAGUUUUAUCUAAAAUUUUGCAUCUUGUAUGAAAGAUGUUCUCUCUUUGGGAUUGAGAUAGAUCACAAGAUUGACCUCCAAGGAGCCUUCUAACCAUUAAGAGGUCACCUUCUUCAUGAGGGUAGACUUCCUCACUAGACUCUUCACCCCUUACUUCAUCUUCACUUCCACUAGAGGAAGGGCAAGAAGUAGUCUCCUCUUGACUACUAUAAAUGUCUUGACCCCUCAUGAUCAUGGUUUUCUUUGUGGGGCAUUGAGAGGCAAUGUGACCUCUCCCAAGACAUUUGAAGCAUUUAAUGUUGCUAGUCCUUUCUUGGGAACUAGUCUUAGGGGUGUAUUUCUCUAUGGUCUUACCCUUAUCUUCCUUGGGUUUUGAAGGUGCAGCCCCUAAAAUUCCAUGGGCUUGGUCCUUCCUUGGAUAAGAGUGAGAGCCAUAAGAUUUUGAAGAAGGCUUUCUUUUAAGUUGUUGCUCCACUCUUAUACAAAGUUGGACUAGCUCAUCUAGGUCCCUAUAUGGAAGGAGUUCAACCUUGUCCCUCACUUCCAUAUUGAGCCCACUAAGGAACCUAGCUAUGCUUGUUCUUUCCUCCUCCCUAAGUCCAGCUCUUAAAAGGAGUAGUUCCAUUUGUUGUCUAUAUUCUUCAACACUCAUACUCCCUUGUCUAAGCCUUUGGAGCUUGUCCAUAAGCUCCCUUUCAUAGUAGGAGGGAAUGUGCCUCUUCCUAAGGGCACUCUUAAGAUCAUUCCAAUACUCUACUGGAGGAUCCUCAUGAAUCCUUCGUUCUUUAACAAGGGAAGUCCACCAAUAGAGGGCAUACCCUUGAAAGCUAAGGGUAGCCAAUGGAACUUUUCUCUCUUCGCUAAUAUGAUGGCAAGCAAAGAGUUGUUCAACCUUCAUUUCCCAAUCUAAGUAGGCCUCAACAUUAUCUUUUCCGUGGAAAUAUGGGAGGCUAAUGUUAACCUCUUGAGGCCUUCUAUCCUUUUCUCUUCUUUGGGAGUGAUGUUUAGUAUGUGAACUAUGACGCCCUCUAUAAUAGUCGCUAAGUUCUUCACUUAAACUCUUGCAAGAGUCAUGACUACUAUAGGAGGCAUGUUUUUCUCUUUUCAUUUCUUUCAUUAUUUUUCUUCUUUCUUCCUCUCUUAUUUUCUCUCUUUCAUCUUGACUUAUUUCUUCCACUCUUUUUUUACCUUUUUCUUUUCUCUCUUGUUUUUCUUUCCACAACUUAAGGGAUCUCAACUCAUCUAAUAUCUUAUACAAGGGGUCCUUAGGAGUAGAACCCUCACCAUUAACACUAGAUGAAGAAUGAAGACUCAUGUUGGUUCCUAAGUUAUGGUUCUUUCUUGUUGGGGGUUUGAAAAAAAGGUAAAAGAAACUAUGGUUGAAACUAGCCAAAAUAAACACUAAAAAAAGGUGUGAAAGAUAAGGUAAAAACUAAUUGGUAAAAGGAAAGCUAUCUAGGCGGUUUGACAAUGGAGGGUAAAGGAAAUAAGCUAUGAAAGUAAGCAAGAAAUUAAAGUGCAAGAAAUGCAAACUAGGCGGAUCCUAAGAGUGUUUGGAUGACCUCAUUUAAGGUUCCCAACAAAACACUCACUAUCCUAAGGGAAAAUUGCCUAAAAUUAUUACACACAAAUGGAAGUAGGGUGACCUAGCGGAGGCUCCCAACUUACUUCCAAUGAAAGGCCUUUUUGUUACAAAAUUUGAAAGCAAAGCAAAUUGCCAAUUACAAAAUUACAAAGAAAAAAGUCCUCAAUUGUGGUGGCUAUUCUCUCUUUAGUGUUUCACUCAAUUUGGAGUGCUUCUUAGUCCAAUAGCUCUUAAGUUGGUUGGCCCCUUGCUUCUUGACUCAAAUUCUUCAAGAUAUGGCACCAAUCCUCCUUUCCAAUUCCCUAUAUGGCAACUCACAAGCAAGGAAACAAAGAGACAAGCAAUAACCAAAGACAAAAAAAAUGAAAUGAAAGCUAAACCAAUAGAGUUUUAACAAGACAAAUUUCCAAGGAUUAUUCAACAAUUAAAGCAAUGGAAAGCACAAAAAGCAAGCUAGGACUCAAAGAGAAACCUAGAAUGGCUCUAGAGUAGAGUAGAAAAACUAAAAAAAAAAAAAAAGACUCAAGAAACCUCUAGUUUUGGCACUUGUUUUCACAAUAAUUUUCAAUUGAAAUUUCAGAACUAGGAUUGGUAUAAAAUAGGCACCAAUUAUAGAACAAAUUUUGAGCCAAAACAACAAGCACACUUUCCUUUCACUUUUUUUUUUUUUUCCUGGACACUGAUUUUUCUGCCAACUUGUGAGAUUUUUCUUUAUUUUUCCUUUAAUCCAAAUCGCUUGGUUCUUUUUUUAUAAUUUUGGUCCAGAUGUCUAAAAAAUUCAGUAAAAGUUUCAGCUCAAAAAACGUAGUGACCAAUUCCCAGUAAUUUAUACACUUUUGUAUGUUCAAGCUGCCUGCACCAGCGAUUUCAACCUAGAAAUCAAGAGUAGUGUUUAUGUUGCUUAAGGCUUGGAUAGUUACAAUUUGUGUUUGCUUAUGCUCAAUUAUCUUGAAUAACACAAUUCAAGAGAGCUUAAGACUUAUUUGAUUCACAAAUCCAGCCACAACUCAACACCACAUCUCAACUUCAUCAUAGGCAUCAUGUAGGAAUCUUAGAAAACAAAAAAGAGUUCAACAACAAGACUACUUCUAGGAAUUGAUUUAGAACAUGUUAUGAACUAAAUAACAUGCAUGAAUUAGACUCAAAAUUCAAAAGAUAGGCUAAGAAUGACAAGAAUACAUGAAAAAAUGUAUCUAGAAUUCAAAAAAACAAAAUAAAAAUUCAACACAAACUUAGAGCAUAAUGUGACAAUUACUAUGACUAAACAUGACUCUAAGACAACAUGGAUUAAGUGAUUUACACUUAGAUUUUUGUGUUUUUUUUUUCUAAUCAAUAUUUUGGAACAAAAUUUAGAUCUAAAGGUUCAGCACAAGAAUAUUAUGAAUGAAAAAUGAUAGAACCUAAAAUCAACACAAAAACAAGAUUCAAGAGUAGAUCUACAAAAUUUGAACCAUAGAAAUGCAAGAACAAGUGUAGAUCUAAGAUUUAAUCGGUUUAUUUUUUUUUGAAUCUACUCUAAACAGCACCAAACCACAAGACAAUGGAGGAUAUACAUGGAGAAUAAGAUGAAGAACAAGGAAUUAAAGAGAAUUCACCGAACAAAAAGAUAGAGGAAGCAAAAGAACAUCACCUAGAUGAAGAUGCUCUUGAUACCACAUGAUGCAAGCUCCAUUGGAGCUUGUAGGCCUAGGAUCUUCUUCACCAAUGGAUUCCUUUGCUUCUUGGAAGAUAAAUGGCAGCAGAAUGGAGAAGGAAGAGAGAGAGGAGACGCCACUUCAAGGAGAAGAUGAGUCUAGAAGAAGCUCACCACCAUAGGAGGCCAUGGAUAAGAGCUUGGAGGAAGAAGGAGAUGAAUGAAGGGAGAGAGAGAGAAGAGCACGAAAUUUUGUGCUCAAAAGGAGCUCUGAAAUCUGAAGUUAAUAUUCAAAUGAUCAAAGUUGAAAAAAAUACACACACAUGACCUCUAUUUAUAACCUAAGUGUCACACAAAAUUGGAGGGAAAUUCAAAUUUCACUUGAAUUUGAAAUUGAAUUUGUGGAGCCAAACUUUGGAGCCAAAAUUUCACUAAUUAUGAUUAGUGAAUUUUAGUUAUGGUUCAGCCCACUAAUCCAAGAUCAAUUACAAGAUUCUCCACUAAGUGUGCUUAGGUGUCAUGAGGCAUGAAAAGCAUGAAGAACAUGCACAAAGUGUGACUAUAUGAUGUGGCAAUGGGGUGUAGUAAGCAAAUGCUCACCUUCCCUUCUAAAAUUUAAUUGGAUUGGGCUUCUACCAAUUCAAUUAAAUUUAUUUCCAACCACACACAUCAAAUAUCCACUUAGUGCAUGUGAAAUUACAAAACUACCCCUAAUACAAAAACUAGUCUAGGUGCCCAAAAAUACAAGGGCUGAAAAAUCCUAUAUUUCUAGGGUACCCUACCUACAAUAUGGAGCCCUAUAUACAAGGACCAAAUAUAAUGACAUCCUAGUCUAAUAUGUACAAAGAUAAUUGGACCCAACCUUGGCCCAUGGGCUCAGAAAUCUACCCUAAGGUUCAUGAGAACCCUAGGGCCUUCUUCAGCAGCUCUAGCCCAAUCUUCUUGGAGCCUCUUGCUCAUGGUUCUAGUGAUUGGUCCCUUCCUAGGGAGGAUUGCAUCAGUACCCUAGAAAUAUAGGAUUUUUUAGCCCUUGUAUUUUAGGGCACCUAGACUAGUUUUUGUAUUAGGGGUAGUUUUGUAAUUUCACAUGCACUAAGUGGAUAUUUGAUGUGUGUGGUUGGAAAUAAAUUUAAUUGAAUUGGUAGAAGCCUAAUCCAAUUAAAUUUUAGAGGGGGAGGUGAGCAUUUGCUUACUACACCCCAUUGCCACAUCAUAUAGUCACACUUUGUGCAUGUCCUUCAUGCUUUUCAUGCCUCAUGACACCUAAGCACACUUAGUGGAGAAUCUUGGAAUUGAUCUUGGAUUAGUGGGCUGAACCAUAACUAAAAUUCACUAAUCAUAAUUAGUGAAAUUUUAGCUCCAAAGUUUGGCUCCACAAAUUCAAUUUCAAAUUCAAGUGAAAUUUGAAUUUCCCUCCAAUUUUGUGUGACACUUAGGCUAUAAAUAGAGGUCAUGUGUGUGAAUUUUUUUCAACUUUGAUCAUUUGAAUAUUAAACUUCAUAUUUCAAAGCUCAUUUGGAGCACAAAAUUUCGUGCUCUUCUCCCCCUCUCCCUUCAUUCAUCUCCUUCUUCCCCCAAGCUCUUAUCCAUGGCCUCUUAUGGUGGUGAGCUUCUUCUAGACUCAUCUUCUCCUUGAAGUGGCGUCUCCUCUCUCUCUCUCUUCCUUCUCCAUUCCGGGUCCAUUCAUUUUCCAAGAAGCAAAGGAAUCCAUUGAUGAAGAAGAUCCUAGGCCAACAAGCUUCAAUGGAGCUUGCAUCAUGUGGUAUCAGAGCAUCUUCAUCUAGGUGAUGUUCUUUUGCUUCCUCUAUCUUUUUGUUCUGUGAAUUCUCUUUAAUUCCUUGUUCUUCAUCUUAUUCUCCAUGUAUAUCCUCCAUUGUCUUGUGGUUUGGUACUGUUUAGAAUAGAUUCAAAAAAAAUAAACCGAUUAAAUCUUAGAUCUACACUUGUUCUUGCAUUUCCAUGGUUCAAAUUUUGUAGAUCUACUCUUGAAUCUUAUUUUUGUGUUGAUUUUAGGUUCUAUCAUUUUUCAUUCAUAAUAUUCUUGUGCUGAACCUUAGAUCUAAAUUUUCUUCCAAAAUAUUGAUUAGAAAAAAAAACACAAAAAUCUAAGUGUUAAUCACUUAAUCCAUGUUGUCUUAGAGUCAUGUUUAGUCAUAGUAAUUGUCACAUUAUGUUCUAAGUUUGUGUUGAAUUUUUAUUUUGUUGAUUGAAUUCUAGAUACAUUUGUUCAUGUAUUCUUGUCAUUCUUAGCCUAUCUUUUGAAUUUUGAGUCUAAUUCAUGCAUGUUAUUUAGUUCAUAACAUGUUCUAAAUCAAUUCCUAGAAGUAGUCUUGUUCUUGAACUUGUUUUUUGUUUUCUAAGUUUCCUACAUGAUGCCUAUGAUGAAGUUGAGUUGUGGUGCUGAGUUGUGGCUGGAUUUGUGAAUCAAAUAAGUCUUAAUGAUGCAAUCCUAUCCCGCAAGGGCAUUGGGUAGAAGACUCCAAGUAGAUUGGGCUAGAGAUCCAAGGGAAGGCCCUAGGGUUCUCAUGAGCCUUAGGGUAGAUUUCGAGCCCAUGGGCUAAGUAUAAGCCCGCUUAUCUUUGUAAAUAUUAGAAUAGGUUUUUCCUUCGUUUGGGCCUUGUAUUUUGGCCAUUCUAGUAGUAUAGGGUUUUAGCCCUGUAUUUCGGGGCAUUUUGAGUAGUCUUUGUAAGAAGGACAUUUUUUUUUUGUAUUUUCAUAUUUUUUGUCAUGGGGGUGAGCUUAGCUAUUAUAGGGGGUGUGUAGCUAAGUUCUAGCUUCUCAUCUCAAGGAGGUGAGCUUAGCUAUUAGAAAGGUAUGUGUAGCUAAGCUCUAGCUUCUUUAGGAAUCUUCUUAAGGAAGCUUCUCAAGGAGGUGAGCUUAGUUAUGAGAGGUGUGUGUGUAGCUAAGCUCUAGCUUCUCAAGGAAGUUUUCUCAAAGAAGCUUCUCAAGGAAGUUUUCUCAAGAAAGCUUCUCAAGGAAGCUACCUAGUCUAUAAAUAGAAGCAUGUGUAACACUUGUUGUAACUUUGAUCAAUGAGAGUCUUGUGAGACACAACUUAAAGUUCAACUUCUCUCCCUUUUUCUUCCUUCAAUUUCGUGCUCCCCCCUCUCUCUUUCUCUCCCUCUUUCUUUUCCUCCAUUGAAGCAUCCUCUCCAAGCUUCUUAUCCAAGGCUUAUCUUGGUGGUGAAGCUCCUUCUUCCAAGGCUUAUUCCCUAGUGGAUGGCGCCUCCCCUCUCCUCUUCUCCUUUGUCUUCCGCUGCAUCUCCAUGGUGGAAAAUCACCAUUAAAGGACCUCAUUAAAGCUCAAAGAUCCAGCCUCCAUAGAAGCCCCACAAGAAAGCUUCCAUCACUUAAGCUCUCUUGAAUUGUGUUAUUCAAGAUAAUUGAGCAUAAGCAAACACAAAUUGUAACUAUCCAAGCCUUAAGCAACAUAAACACUACUCUUGAUUUCUAGGUUGAAAUCGCUGGUGCUGGCAGCUUGAACAUACAAAAUUGUAUAAAUUACUGGGAAUUGGUCACUAAGAUUUGUGAGCCGAAAUUUUUACUGAAUUUUCUAGACAUCUGGAAAAAAAUUAUAAAAAAAGAACCAAGCGAUUUGGAUUAAAGGAAAAAAUAAUAAAAAUCACACAAGUUGGCAGAAAAAUCAGUGUCCAAGAAAAAAAAAGUGAAAGGGAAGUGUGCAUGUUGUUUUGGCUCAAAAAUUUGUUCUAUAAUUGGUGUCUAUUUUAUACCAAUCCUAGUUCUGAAAUUUAAAUUGAAAAUUAUUGUGAAAACAAGUGCCAAAACUAGAUGUUUCUUGAGUCUUUUUUUUUUAGUUUUUCUACUCUACUCUAGAGCCAUUCUAGGUUUCUCUUUGAGUCCUAGCUUGCUUUUUUGUGCUUUUCAUUGCUUUAAUUGUUGAAUAAUACUUGAAAAUUUGUCUUGUUAAAACUCUAUUGGUUUAGCUUUCAUUUCAUUUUUUUUGGUCUUUGGUUAUUGCUUGUCUCUUUGUUUCCUUGUUUGUGAGUUGCCAUAUAGGGAAUUGGAAAGGAGGAUUGGUGCCAUAUCUUGAAGAAUUUGAGUCAAGAAGAAAGGGGCCAACCACCUUAAGAGCUAUUGGACUAAAAAGCACUUCAAAUUGAGUGAAACACUAAAGAGAGAAUAGCCACCACAAUUGAGGACUUUUUUUUUUCUUUGUAAUUUUGUAAUUGGCAAUUUGCUUUGCUUUCAAAUUUUGUAACAAAAAGGCCUUUCAUUGGAAGUAAGUUGGGAGCCUCCGCUAGGUCACCCUACUUCCAUUUGUGUGUAAUAAUUUUAGGCAAUUUCCCCUUAGGAUAGUGAGUGUUUUGUUGGGAACCUUAAAUGAGGUCAUCCAAACACUCCUAGGAUCCGCCUAGUUUGCAUUUCUUGCACUUUAAUUUCUUGUUUAUUUUCAUAGCUUAUUUCCUUUACCCUCCAUUGUCAAACCGCCUAGAUAGCUUGCCUUUUACCAAUUAGUUUUUACCUUAUCUUUCACACCUCUUUUAGUGUUUAUUUUGGCAAGUUUCAACCAUAGUUUCUUUUACCUUUUUUUCAAACCCCCAACAAGAAAGAAGCAUAACUUAGGAACCAACAUGAGUCUUCAUUCUUCAUCUAGUGUUAAUGGUGAGGGUUCUACUCCUAAGUACCCCAUUGUAUAAGAUAUUAGAUGAGUUGAGAUCCCUUAAGUUGUGGAAAGAAAAACAAGAGAGAAAAGAAAAAGGUAAAAAAAGAGUGGAAGAAAUAAGUCAAGAUGAAAGAAAGAAAAUAAGAGAGGAAGAAAGAAGAAAAAUAAUGAAAGAAAUGAAAAGAGAAAAACAUGUCUCCUAUAGUAGUCAUAACUCUUGCAAGAGCCUAAGUGAAGAACUUCGUGACUAUUAUGAAAGAAGGCAUAGGUCACAUCUUAGACCUCACUCCCAUAGGAGAGAAAAUGAAAGAAAGCCUCAAGAGGUUAACAUUAAACUCCCAUACUUCCAUGGGAAGGACAAUGUAGAGGCUAAUUUAAAUUGGGAAAUAAGGAUAGAGCAACAACUUAAAAGGAAGUCUACUUCAAAAUCUUAUGGCUCUCACUCUUAUCCAAAGAAAGACCAAGGUAAAGGAAUCUUAGGGGUGAGACCUUCUAAGCCCAAAGAUGAUAAGGGGAAGACAAUAGAAAAGCAACCCCUUAAGGCUAGUAUGCAAGAGAAGACUAGCUCCGUGAAGUGCUUUAAAUGUCUUGGAAGAGGACACAUUACUUCUCAAUGCCCCACCAAGAAAACCAUGAUUAUGAGGGGCCAAGACAUUUAUAGUAGCCAAGAUGAGGCUACUACUUCACCUUCCUCUAGUGAAAGUGAAGAAGCAAAGGGGGGAGAAUCUAGUGAAGAAAUCUAUCCCCAAGAAGAAGGACAACCUUUAAUGGUUAAGGAGGAGUGUAAGGAGGUAAGUGUCUCCUCCAAGAGGUUAGCUAAGAAGGAAAGACAUUUUGAAAUAAAGACAAAUAUUAAAGAAAUUUCCCUUCUUAGAAAACCUCCACAUUUUCUCCUUUGUAAAAAGACACUUGUUAGCAUUGCCACAUCUCUUAGGUUUGAGUUUAUUCCUCAAGUAAAGGAGUUGUUGGAUGAGGGUUUGGUUCGCAAGAGAUUAAAUCCUUGUGCUUUGUUGGUGCCCAAAAUAGGUAUUAUUAGGCACCAAAUCCCUAAAAUAGGUGGUGUGAUAAAUGUUUUGGGUGGUGCAACACUCUUUUGUAAAAUCACUCGUGCACCCAACAUCUUCAUGAUUUGUGUACAUAGGGACUCAUUAGGUAGGUUUGUUCUUAUUUUUAGUUUCAAUACAAACUUAGGCACUCAUAUGGGACACCUUAGGUUUGUCAUACUUUUUGGUAGGAAUAAUAAACAUGAAAAUACAGAAAAAGGUAUGUUCUAUUGCUUUACUUUUCUUAAUUUUUUAAAUUGUGAUCAAGGGGUUCCCGUGAACCCUAAGAGAAUAAAGGUCAUUCCUGAGUGGCCCGCUCCACCAAGUGUAAGAAAAAUUUGGGGCUUCCAAGACUUAACAAACUUUUACAAAAGGUUUGCCCCAUAUUUUUCUAUACUUGUAGCACCACUCAUUGAGUUGGUGAGGAACCAUGUUCCUUCAUGGGAAGAUGCCCAGGAAAUGAGUUUUCAGACCUUACCUUACUUCAACAUACUAAACACCACUAAUACAUAUGUUUUUGUUCUUUUUACAGGUGUUGAGGAAAAAAUCCCAGAGUUUCAAGAACCUCGGGAUUUGAGGUCAAAUCCUUUUCAAGGGAGAGGGAAUGAUGCAAUCCUACCCCGCAAGGGCAUUGGAUAGAAAACUCCAAGUAGAUUGGGCCAGAGAUGCAAGAGAAGGCCCUAGGGUUCUUAUGAGCCUUAGGGUAGAUUUCGGGCCCAUGGGCUAAGUACGAGCCCACUUAUCUUUGUAAAUAUUAGAUUAAGGUUUCAUUAUUUUUGGGCCUUGUAUUUAGGGUUCCAUAAUGUAGGUAGGGUACCCUAUAAAUAUAGGAUUUUUCAGCCCUUGUAUUUUAGGGCACCUAGACUAGUUUUUGUAUUAGGGGUAGUUUUGUAAUUUCACAUGCACUAAGUGGAUAUUUGAUGUGUGUGGUUGGAAAUAAAUUUAAUUGAAUUGGUAGAAGCCUAAUCCAAUUAAAUUUUAGAGGGGGAGGUGAGCAUUUGCUUACUACACCCCAUUGCCACAUCAUAUAGUCACACUUUGUGCAUGUCCUUCAUGCUUUUCAUGCCUCAUGACACCUAAGCACACUUAGUGGAGAAUCUUGGAAUUGAUCUUGGAUUAGUGGGCUGAACCAUAACUAAAAUUCACUAAUCAUAAUUAGUGAAAUUUUAGCUCCAAAGUUUGGCUCCACAAAUUCAAUUUCAAAUUCAAGUGAAAUUUGAAUUUCCCUCCAAUUUUGUGUGACACUUAGGCUAUAAAUAGAGGUCAUGUGUGUGAAUUUUUUUCAACUUUGAUCAUUUGAAUAUCAAACUUCAGAUUUCAAAGCUCAUUUGGAGCACAAAAUUUCGUGCUCUUCUCUCUCUCUCCCUUCAGUCAUCUCCUUCUUCCCCCAAGCUCUUAUCCAUGGCCUCUUAUGGUGGUGAGCUUCUUCUAGACUCAUCUUCUCCUUGAAGUGGCGUCUCCUCUCUCUCUCUCUUCCUUCUCCAUUCCGUUGCCAUUCAUUUUCCAAGAAGCAAAGGAAUCCAUUGAUGAAGAAGAUCCUAGGCCUACAAGCUUCAAUGGGGCUUGCAUCAGUUUGCCUAGAAUGAGAGGAAUUAAAUGCCAAGUAACAUUAGCAUGAAGUGCAAUAAUUUGUCCAUCAUUUCCUGAUGCCACCUUAGGAAAGUAAUAAAAGAACAAUAUGGUGAAGACAAAUGAGAAGAGAGAAAGUAGGUAACGAGUUAGUAGGAGUCUUUGCCUCUUUGGAGGAACAUCAUCAAUAGUCUAAGUUCUCUAAGAGUGACCAUGAUAAACUUGUAAAGGAAUAGAGGAUGAAGACAACUCACAUGCCCUUGGGUAACCUUUUUUAUUAAGAAAUAAUAGAACACUCUUUUAUCA